UCACCUUAUCUUUCAGAUCGGGCAACAGUUCAGGCGGUGGCCAGAUCGGCCACGGCCGUCGUGAUAAUACCAGAUUCAAUAUCGCGUCAUCAUCAGGCGACGGGGGUGCUCAAGGUCAUCUGCUUUCACCCUUCCUUUCUAGGGCAUCGCUCAAGGAGAGGAGGUGGUGGCGGCCAUCGCUUCCUUCCUUUAUAGGGCACAAUGCAGCUCGGCUGCUCCCACGAUAUGGAGCUCAUCAACAAGGUACCUUCUCUCUCUUUCUGUCCGAUUUGACUUGAUUCAUUUUGCAGCUCCUGUUUCUCUAUUCACGAGGCUCGUGCUGCUCCCUCUCUGUUGUAGGAGAACAUCCCCCUCUCUCUGUUCCUCUAUUCACGAAGUUCUUCCUGUUUCUGGACAACAUACCCUGGAGGAGUAUUACAAGACCCUAAGAUGCAGCCUCGACAACCUCAAUGCCUCCAAAUACUGGGCCACAACAAUGAGGUUUCGUUUUGCUCCUAAUGUAUGUUGUUGUUACCUGCACUUUGUUUUCCCUUUGUUGCCACUCAUUGAUGCUUAACUGGGUGUGGGGUUUCUGUUUGUUCUUGAGGUUCAUGUGGAAUCUAUUCAACUUUUGAACACAAAAAAUCAAUAUUGUUUGUCGUUGCAUAUAAAAUUACAGUUCAUGAACGAGUUGUUGACUUGUGUGACCCUGUCAUAAGGGGAAGCCAUCGGAUUUAUAGCACUUUGUUGGCAUCACCACCAUGCUUGUUAUCACAAUCAGUAUCACCAAGGGAAAAACUGCCAGAGAUGCCUGCCUGUGGGCUCAUCAAGGAUUUCACUCUCCCUCUCUCUGCUUUAUACCAGUUCAUUCGGCUUUUGUUUGUUUGGUUGUACAACAUCGGUAUCUUAGAGAUUAAUGGCAAAAUUACUAUUCAUUUCAAAUUAUAGUUAGCUGGUCCUGCCCAUGAAUAGGAUAAAUCAUAGUCGUGGGGGCGCGCUGGUCCCAGCCAUGCGCUGUCCGAUUGUCGAAGCUUGACGCCGCCAUGGGCGACGGUGCUAGUCCACCACCCUGGUGCCAACCCCCUGUCGAGGCAGGAGCCCUGGGCAGAGGAAGGCCACCCAGUCAUUGUAUUCUCCACCAACAGACCAGCACUUGAUCAACGUCUUCAGAGUGUUGGUGCUCUGCCUUUCACUAGCAGCAACACUUCAGCGAAGUGGACAACUUUGUUGGGACAAUGGAAUCUGGUCAUCUGAAGGUAAGGUUUGAUUUAAUUCACGAGGUUGUACCACUGAUCCAGUGCCAUGACGUACCUAUAGGUUUUAUUCAUGAGCUCUAAAUGAAAUUGUUAACCAUCUGAUCGAUGUGUUUAUGUGUGUGUGUAUAUAUAUGCACACAGUAUGCCUGUAGGUUUGUAGAACUCGGCGUUAUGUUGUGAUGGCUAAAUUAUGAUUUUUGAGAUUCUUACUGUUCAAGUACAUAUUACGAACCUGAAGUCAAAACACAAGAAAACGAUAAAACUGACAAAACUAGAUAGUGUACAGAUUCCUAGAUUGAGUAUGUGUAACACCCAUAAUGCAGCUAUAUCUCCCAUGUGUCGGGGCACGACUUAGAGGCAUAGCCGCAUGGUAGUUUUGUCGCAAGAGGGGUAAUCUUCACACAAUCCCAUGUACUGAAUAAGAAAGUGAUAAAGAGAUGGCUUACAAUCACCACUUCACACAAUACAUAAAUAAUUCAUACAUUAUCCAAAUACACUCAAAGACUGACUAUGGUCAAAUCCAACAGAAAAGGAAGAUAAAGCCUAAAUGCUAGAUCCCCGAUCGCCCCAACUGGGCUCCACUACUGAUCAUCAGGAAACGAAACGUAGCAACGACCCAGAUCCUCGUCAAACUCCCACUUGAGUUCGGUAGCAUCACCUGCACUAGUAUCCUCGGCACCUGCAACUGUUUGGAAGUAUCCAUGAGUCAUGAGGACUCAGCAAUCUCACACCCGUGAGAUCAAGACUAUUUAAGCUUAUGGGUAGGAGAAGGUAGUGAGGUGGAGCUGCAGCAAGCACUAAGCAUAUAUGGUGGCUAACAUACGCAAAAUAAGAGUGAGAAGAGAAGCAACGCACGGUCGAGAAGCUAGAAGUGAUCAAGAAGUGAUCCUGAAACUACUUACGUUCAAGCAUAACACAAGGCCGUGUUCACUUCCCGUACUUCGCCGAAAAGAGACCGUCAUGGCAACACACACGGUUGAUUCAUUUGAAUUAAGUCAUGUGUCAAGUUCUCUACAACUGGAUAUUAACAAAUUUCCAUCUGCCACAUAGCCGUGGGCACAGCUCUCGAAAGUUUAUACCCUGCAGGGGUGUCCCAACUUAGCCCAUCACAAGCUCUCACGGUCAACGAAGGAUAUUCCUUCUCCCGCAAAAACCCGACCAGUCUCGGAAUCCCGGUUACAAGACGUUUCGACAAUGGUAAAACAAGACCAGCAAAGCCGCCGGAUGUGUCGACAAAUCCCGAUAGGAGUCACACGUAUCUCGUUCUCAGGGCACACCAGAUGGGACAAGUUACGAGUAAAACCAGCCCUCAAGUUUCCCCGAGGUGGCCCCACAGGCUGCCCAUUUCGGACCAACACCCAGAGGAGCACUGACCCGGGGAGGGAUUUAAAAUAAAGAUGACCCUUGAGUCUGCAGAACCAAAGGGAAAGGUAUAGGUGGUAGGUAGGCAAAAGGUAAAACCAAGGUUGGGCCUUGCUGGAGGAGUUUUAUUCAAAGCGAACUGUCAAGGGGGUCCCAUAAAUCCCCAACCGCGUAAGGAACACAAAAUCAAGGAACAUAAUAUCGGUAUGAAGGAAACUAGGGUGGCAAGAGUGGAACAAAACACCAGGCAAAAGGCCGAGCCUUCCACCCUUUACCAAGUAUAUAGAUGCAUUAAAUAAAUAAGAGAUAUUGUGAUAUCCCAACAUAUCCAUGUUCCAACAUGGAACAAACUUUAACUUCACCUGCAACUAGCAACUUAGCCAAACAACGGUUUGCUAGAAAGGUGGGUUAGAGGCUUGACAUGGAAACAUGGGAGGCAUGAUAUAACAAGCGGUAGGUAGCGUGACAUAGCGAUACAACGAACAACUAGCAAGCAAAGAUAGAAGUGAUAUCGAGGGUAUGGUCAUCUUGCCUGCAAUGUUCUCAGAGUUGUUGAAAGCUUAAUCCUCGUUAGCAUACUCAACAGGUUCCUCGUUCACGUACUCGUCUCCCGGCUCUACCCAAAUCAAGAACACAAGCAAUGGAACAACAAUCAAUCAUGGUUCAAUGCACAAGCAACAUGAUGCAAUACAUGGCAUGGUAUGCAUGCAUAUGCGUGCUUUGGAAGGGAAAUAAUGAUCAAGGCAUCAACUUGGCAAACCAAGUAUGCCGCUGGAAAUAUGAGGUGAUUUCGGUCGAAAACGAUAUAAGGAUCACCGGAAACGGAUGCACGGUUUGCAAAUGGCAAGCAAAAUAAGAAUGACGCAAAUAUGCUAUUAACAUCAUGAUGCCACUUAGAGUGCAAUAGAAAACUAAGCUACUGCACUCCAACAUAGCAACAAAGCAUAUGGAGGUGAUGUACAAGAGAUGCUUGACAAAACAUGAACACUGAGCUACGACUAAAUCACACUAGAACAGGUUCAAAUAAGCAUGGCAAAAGUGCAAAAGAUAUCAGUUUCACAGACUUAGUGAAAAUACUAACAUGUCAAAAACAACAUCAGGAAGCAAUGUUUAGAGCAAGCAAACAACAUGCUACAAGAACAUAUCAUAGCAAACAAAGGCAUGGCAUGAUUCUACUAAAUGCAUAGAACAAAACUACCUUACUGAACAUGAGCCAAAAAUUCACAGAAGAUAUGAUGGCACCUAUGUAAACAUAGCAAGUUUUAUUAACAGUUUCAGACUUAGAAGAAAAAUAGAGCAUGGCAUAAACAGAUUCAUGAUAGCAAGUGUGGGAGCUCAUGCCACUCACCACAAAGCAUUAAAUGACAACGUAAACACACCAAUAAAAAGAUGACAUGUUCAUGAAGCUAACCACGGUAAGAGAAAGUUAAAGGAUGCAUGGAUCACUAGCAACAACCCUAGCAAUAUUUAGGAUUAGCAAUACCAUGAGAUUAAUUUAUGUUUCAUUCCCCAUGGUAUUGCAGGUUCAUGCGCAAGGUGUUAGACUUGGUAGAUCAGUGGAUAUGUCAAACUUUAGUCACUAUGAUGAACUCAAAGUUGAGUUAGAGAAGAUGUUUCAAUUUGACAGUGAACUAAUGUCUUCAAAGAGAGAGGUAGAUUGUGUAUACUGGUAAUUAGGGUGACAAACCAUGGGAGUAAGCCAUCUACCUUGGUGCUUGCUUUGAUAUACUUGCAGCAAAAAUCUCUUCCUUUUACACUGACUGUUUUGUGAGCAGAAAAUUCUACAACAUAGUGCACAAGAUAAUUUGUUUUACACGAGGAAGAAUAUCCAUAUGAUGAAUGCAAAAUCAUCGUCUACCCCAAAAAAGGACGAAGGUUUCAUGGAUAUUUUGCUGAAAUAUGAAAACAAGAGUAAUUGUUUAGUCUAAUUGUGAAUUGUCUUAAAUGAAAACAAGGGUUUUACUUACUCAUAUGAUAGCUCUAAUUCGGUACAUGGGAUCACACUGUAGCACCAACAUGAGUGUCAAUAUUAACCGCUAAGUGGGUAAAUGGAGAGGUGGGCGUCAACCAGUUUGGGUGCUCGCGCAGCUGGACACCCAGCCCACCACCCGCGUCCAAGCCAUGUGCUCAACAUGGGGGUGACUCACAUUUCUCUCUCCUUAAUUAAAAAAUCCACAAUGGUUGGGUGUAGGACCGUGGUUCAGAUUUUGUUGUGUGCAUGGUUUCAGAAAUCAUGUGCUAGCAUGUGAGUGUGCACGCGGAUUUGAGAUCACACCAUGAAGUUCUGGUUUGAAUUUAAACUGGUGCUUAUCCACUUGAUUACCCUUGAAGUGCAUGUGAGUAUAACCCAACCAAACAUGACAUGGUGGCCACCUGUACAUACUGAAUCAUUACCUUAGAUAUUGUUAGGUUUUCCUGAAACUGUAACUUUCUUUUUGUCUACUUUCAUGUCUAGCUCUACACACUCAACAGUUUAUUGAACCCUUUUGUUUAGGAAAGAAAAAUACACCAUUUACUACUUUAGUUAGUGCAGAUGGAAAGGCGGUGAGGAAAUAAUCGAGUAACACAUUAUUUACUUCAAGUAUUUUGGAACACACGGAAUAGAAGCAGUCAUGCGUCACCUCAGCCAACCUUUGCUCCAAACUCCUAGAGUUUAGUCUAUUAAGCUUAUGCUUAGCCAAUAGUGAUGUUUUUCUUUGAGUAUAAAACCUCAUUUAUAUAGCAUAUGCUAAUUGGAGUCCACAGUAAGCAAGGUAGUAUUUAGUCAAAUGCUUAUUAUUACUUCAUGAAGCUCAAUUUUGUCGUAUACUUGUAAACAUUAUACCAUUUCUGUUGUCAAAACCUAAUUUACAUAGCAAGUAAGUAAUGUUUCUCUGCUUGCUAUUUGUUUCACUUUGUCUUCCCGAUCAUUUCAUCUAAAAAUAUUGUACCAUUUCUGUUGACGAAGUGAUAGAGUGUUGUUACAGCAUCGGGUCUAAACCCAUUGAGCUACAUGUUAUGUUGAUGAUGACAGGUUGCAUAUUAUGUUGUUGAUUGUGUUGUUUUCUCAAAUUCAUUAUGUAUCAUUGAUUUGUCGUAAAAGUGUUUGCAGACAUUCUGAAUGAGGAUUGAAAUUAUAUUUUCUCAUACUCACUCCGUUCCUAAAUAUAAGUCUCAAUAUAUACUACAUACUGAGCAAAAUGAGUGAAUAUAUAUAUCUAAAAUAGGUCUAUAUGCAUUGCAUAUGGAGCAAAAUGAGUGAAUAUACAUCUAAAAUAGGUCUAUAUACAUUGCAACUCAUAUACUACUAACACUAAAUAUUCAAUUUCCAAUAAGCAGCUAUUUUGUAUUUUUAUUUUUAUUAGAUACAUGAGAACAUAGUUAUUUAUUUUUGAGCCGUUGCAACGCAUAGGCACUUUACUAGUAAACAUAAUGCAUGUUAACUUUUACAUAUAGAGAGAACAUAAUACAAGCAGGUAAUAAUUUAAGUCCACUUCACCUGCAAUGUAAAUAGAUUAAAAAAGGCAAUUUGACGAUGUAUACAUAUACAACAAUUAUCCAACAAAAAUCUUUUACAGAUUAAGAUCUACUUGAUGCACAUAAGAAAUAUCGCACAAUAUGAAGAAUGUUGUCUACCCCUUUUUUUGCUUACUUGCCCAGCUUUAUCCUGACCUCAGCCACUCUCUUAGCGCACCCACCCAUCUCACUCUCUCACCCCACACAUCCCUGUUGAAUUUCUCGCGCAUACCAUUUUGACAGCCAUUAAAGGAACAUUUUUGAAAUAAGGAGCAUGCAAUCUAUGCCGAGGAUUAUAUAAAGUUCAUGAUUCAUCAUCAUCUUACUUCUAGUGUCAAAUAGCUCAUGAAGUAGUACUUUAUAUACAACACAAAUAUACAAUUUUGUCUCAUUGUGUAGCGCUUGAACUUUAAAAUGCUUCAAUGGCCUCAUAUUGUCCUGGUAGAAAACUGAGCAUACAAGUAUAACAUAAGAUAUAUCCUGAUGAUACAAAUCAUAUAUAUUGAAGCCUCCUAGAAAAAGCACGUGAAUCAAGUAUAAUCAAGCUAGUAAUUAUUGUCAAUGAGAAUAAAAUCCUUAUCACCAACUAAAAAAGUACCAAUGCUUAAUCUGCUAAUUAGAUCAGUUAUUUUUGUCAAGGAGAAUAGAAUUAUUAUCAGCACUCAAUUGGUCAAAAUCAGGUAUAAAUUCUUGGAAGCAUCAGAUUAGUUAUUAAGCUACAAUACAAUUGGAAUGUUAUUUUACUAGAUUGUCGAGUUGUACUGUUUUCUUUCACAAUAAAGAAAUUACGGAUAGCAGUUUUGUCCAUGGGUAUGGGUACCCGUGGGUACCCUACCCAAAAAUAGUGGGCAUGGGCAAGUGUUAGCAAUAUUUUAUACCCAUGGGUAUGGGUAUCCAUACCAGCAAAAUAUAUGGGCAGGGCAUGGGUAUGAAAUUGCGCCUAUGGGCAACCCAAUGGAUACCCAGAAAAAGUUAAUAAAGGAAAAUAACCCAUAUGACAAGUGUGGUCGACAUCCAACCCCAAUGGCCUAACCUUAAAUCCCUUAUUCACAAAACCAACCAUAGCUCAUAGGAUUAUAACCACCAACUCGCGUCACUCCUCCUACAUCCUAUAUGACUCCUUGAAAUGAGGAAAUAUUGACUAAUUAUCACCGUACUCUUGUUGAACUCUUGAUCCAACGAUCCUGAGUACCCACCGCCGCCUCCCAAUUUGUCGCGCUUCCACCAACUACUACUUGUACCCCCUUACCGCCUUCUAAGACACCCACCGAAGGAUCCCUUUUCAUUGCUAUCCUGCUCGCCCAUUACCACUUCAAUUUGAAACUUGUUUAUAUAAAAAAAAUCAAAAUGUAAAUGAUAUAUAUUGUAUCCAUUGGAUACAUAUUGGGUAUAGGAUACCCGAUGGAUAUGGGCAUGGUUAUCAAUUUAUACCCAUGGGUACACAAAUGGGUGGGUAUAGAAAGUUUCUAUGGGUAUGGGUUUGGGCAGAAGGGGGUUGUACCCACCCAUACCCUACCCAUUGUCAUCCCUAAAAGAAAUGGCAGAUUCUCCAAGCUCAAGAAGUUGUAGCACUUGUUCAGCAUUGUUAACAAUAUUUUCGAGCAGACUUGGCACAUACACAACAUGUUGCAGCCACAAAAAAAUUAUUAAACAAUCUAUGAAGUAGUUUGAACAAAAAUCAUAAUCAUUCCUACUAUUACCUUCAACCCUCAUGAACUAGUAGCUUCUCGCUCCUGGGUAUAAGGAGGUCACUGGUCUUCUCACUAUAAAUAUCAUGUACAUCACCAUGCGCAAUAACACGCGGUCUGUAGCCUAUCCCAAAACUGGAAUCAAAUCGCUUGCAUACAAUGAGUAGAACACACUUCUCCUCGCGUCAAAAAAAGGACACACAUUUACUUACCGUUGGAAAUUUUCUUUCAAAUUCUUAGGUAGAAACACUAAGUAGGAUUGACUUCUACUCAGCAAGAAUCCCAAACCUAAAAGUACAUGGUGCCAGAGAUAAUAACCCACCUUGCUCUGGCAGGGCUUGCCCCCGAGCAUUGUGCCGGACUGAAGGUUCUGAGUCCUGAACAUGUUCGCUUUUGAUAACCUUAUUGCUUGAACAAAAUAAGAAAAAGCAUUUUGCUUAUAAUACACCAACUCCAGCUGAACUUCUCCAAAUAUCUUUCCUAAAAUAAUAGAAAACAAGUCAAAAGUAUGUACCUGCUUUUGAUGCUUCUGCCAGAUGAACGUGCAACUCUUUGAAGCAUUUUACCCAAAGAGCAACAUAAAAUAUAGCAACUGGAGCAGUAAUUCUUGAGUGACGAUGUACAUGGUCAAAGUCAAACAGUUCAGGUUGUCUAGUGGAGUCCGUAUCUCUGUUCAGCAUUAGUAGAGAUCCUAGCAAAAGAGCCCAUACGCUACAAUGGGGAUACAAGUUAAAACAUUGCUUCCAAUCAUAACAAUCUUUGGUAAGCAGAUCUUAGUUUCUUAAGACUAAUUGUCCACUAUUACUGGUGUCCUAGGAUUUUAAGGUUUUGAAUAUUUCUCUUAAGCUCACAAUCUCUUAUUGUAAUAAGAGAAGGGAUGUGAUUUUUCACCUAAUGCAGACUGGACUGGCAAGCAAGGAGGUAGAGCUUCAAGUUUAAAUCAUUUAGUGCCUUGUUGGCCAAAUAGUCGUUUUAGAGGACGACUCUCUCAUGUCUCGGUACCCCCCUCGUUUUUUCCAUCUGGAUUCCCACCACACAUUUAUUACUCCUUGUAUUCUCUCUUUGUAACAUCCCAAAUUUUUAGAUUUGGAAUGUUAAUAGGAUCAUUUUUUUUCAUCAUGAUUUUCUAUGCAUAUUUGAAAUUUUCUGAAUAUCAAAUCGUUAUUGCAACUUAGGGAAAAUUAUUGGAGGGGAGAUAACAUGACUUCUCCCCUGUUAUAAAAAGGUCAUAGUGAUCAGAAUAUUAUUGGAGUUCACCUGCUGUUUUUUAAAAAAUUUAGAAACUCCAAAUGAUUUUUAGAUUUGUGUUAUACUGCAUUUUUUGUAUUCUUUAUUCCAUAAAAUAAGGUUUACAGAAUUGCAUUAGAGCUGGAACUAAGGUUCCUGUAGUUUAUAUUAGUAAUGUCAUUUUUACUAUAUUUUCAGGAAUUUGUCUAGUAUUUGCUUUUACCUAGUCUCUACCUAAUAAUAAAGCACGUAGGGUUUUUGCCUGUCCGUCACGCCAAUUUGCAAACAAGCCCAUGCGUUAUCAUGAAAUCAACCCGCAGUCCAGAUUUAAGUCACACCGAACCGUUAUUUUACAGUUUAAAAAAAAACCCUAACGUUUUAGAUAUUCCAUCUGCGGAUCAUAUUUAAGUCAAACAAAUGCUUUUCUAAACCAUCCAUAUGACCAUAUCUUUUAAACCGUAACUCUGAUUUAAACAUGUUAUAUAUGAAAUUUGAUUAGAAAAAUAUGUAGAAUACGAAUAUAAGAUUAUUUUAACCUGUUAAGUAUUUAUACAUAUUAUUUUGGAAGAUAUUUAAUUCAAACAAAUGGUUUUCAAAAUUAUACGUAUUUUUUACACUGUAACUUCGAUUUUAAUAUGUUAUAUAUGAAAUUUGAUUAGAAAAAUGUGUGAAAUCUGUAUAUGAUGUUAAUUUUACAGGUUAAAUAUUUUUUAAAUAUUGUUUUGGAAGUAAACUUAUAACUAUAGCGCAUGAUCCAUUUUUCUUUCAUACAGGCGACGAUCCGGACUGCAAAUAAACACCCACUAUAAUCAUAUAGAGAAAAGAAAACAUCGAGAACUACACAUGCAUACCUCUGAAUACGUCGCAGGGGAAAACAACAGAUUUAUCAUCACGGUUACGAGAGAAACCGAGAGAGAGGGAGAGGAAGAAGAGAGGGAGAGAGAGACGUCUUAGGAUUAACCACAUUCUAACACGUUUUGAUUUGUGUGAACACUAAGAUCACCCCGGGCGAGGGUGAGAAGAAGGAUAAGCGGCAACACAAAUAUGAUGCGUCGCUAAAAUAAAGGAGAUGGACCUAUUGUGGUCUUGAGUGAUGGUUGUUCGGUUAAGAGUGUGUGUUGUGUUUUUUCUCCCGUUGCAACACACGGGCUCUUUUCCUAGUUUAUUUAUAAUUCCUGUAGCAGAGGUUUUCUUAAAAAAAGGCAACGCGCGCACUGUGUUGUCGGAUAGAACUGCUGCGGCCCAACUCCCUUACUUCGCCCGCGCGUGCUAAGCAGCGCUGUAGCUAGCAGGCCAGCCCAGCAGCAGUACCGUAGGCCACAACCCGCCUUCUCUUUUUUUCUUCACACCCCUCAGCGCCGCUGACACUGGGCCCCGCUAGGUUGUCUCCUUCCUCGUACUGGACUCCUCCUGCACACGCACGAGUUCAUAUAUCCCGAUCAAACUUCACCCGAUUCGAUCGACCAUUGUUUCUCAACCACCCCCGAUUCCUCAUAAGUAUUCGCCACCUUGUCCUCUUCCGAUUUUUCACAAAAACGGAGUUCCCCGGUGCCCUAGAGCUGCCGUACAACGUCGCCCGAGUUCUGCCUGCAGAAGCUUCCACCACCGUUAAUUCUGAUGAAACCCAAGGGUCUCCACAUCUCCUCUGGUCCCGAUUCACUUCACCUUGAUCUCCUAGCUCUCCUUCACCUCUUAUUCUGCGCAGGGGUGCACCAUGAUGACGCCGGCGACCCUGACCAGAAGCACAUCGUCGCCGCGAACUCUUCCUGGACCAUGCCGUCGCUAGCAGAUCUUCCCGAAGACCCCCACGACAUGUUCGAGACCGCCUAUCUCCGCAGCUUCUUGCUGUGACCUUGUCAUCCCGAGGAGAUCACCAGAGACGACCCCAACGUUGAUCCCGUGCCGCACGCUUCUGUUUUGUUCAACUCCGGCGCCACCCAGCCCCUGUUUCCGGUGAGCACCACUUCCAUCCGUUCGAUCCAAACUGAGGGCCAUGAUUAGAUCGUCUAUUUGUUUUUUACCGAAACGUUUUCCUUUAAGUUGUGUUCGUUCGCCGUUUAGACCUUCCAGCGGACAUGUAACAACCAUUAGUAACUCACCACGUGGCAGUUCACUACGGUAGCCUCUGCAGCAGUAAAAAAGAGUUCUUUUUGUCUUUUUACAGAUUUUUCACCUAAUUUCAAUUAGCUAUAUCUUGAGAUCCGUAACUCAAAAUUCAUCUAUUCUUUUUUCUUGUAUACUCGUAGAGAUCAGAAGAAUAUUGUAUUACCAAAAUUUCACAUUUUUGAACCAUUUAAAUUUGAAUUUGCUCAAAUUUGAAUUUAACCUUCCGGAGGCCAUAUCUUUCAAACCGUUGAUCCAAAUUAGAUGAUUCUUUUUGCAUUGCGAUCCUACUAUCAUGUAGAUAUAUAUACCUACUGAUAUGUUCUAUUAUUUAAGUUUUAUUUGAAUUCCUUGCUGUUGACUUUAUUGUGGUACUAUAUGAAUAUCGUUUAUUUAUCGGUACCUUCGUUAAUCGAAUAGAUUGUUCGGAGUGUGAAGCGGAUCAGAAUUAAUCGUGAGACUACUUCAACACUGUUCAAGGCAAGUUUGCACUUUUGAUUUUGCUCAUCCUAUAUCCAGCUAUGUAUGUGUGGUUUUAUGCUAUGAUAUGUGCUUAAUUUGAUCUGUAUAUUCUUUGUUGUCAUAUUUGGGUAUUGAUUGUAUUAUGUGAUUGUGUGAUUAGCUUACUAUGGUAGACGUGGGUUUGUGUCGAGUGUUUAGUGGUGAGUGUUUAUAGCCGUAGAGAAUGUGUCACUGGUAGAGCGCUCUAUUAUCCCUAGAGAAUGCGCCAUUAACAGAACGCACUUGAGGCGAGGUAUAUUUUUUGGAACUUAAAUCAGGUGAAUGCGUCUUUGGCAGAGCGCUCUAUUGUUCCUAGAGAACACGCCAUCGACAUAGCGCACUUGAGAGACUUCUGAAGUUCGUGUCAUGUUUACUUAGUGGAGGUAGGUGAAGACAUUCUUCUGCACGCCAACUUGAGUGUUUUAUUUGCCAUACAUUUCUUUAUGGAUGUAGGUUUGCUAUAUCAUAUUUGAUUUGCCAAUACAUUCAAUGUAUUGACACUUUUGGCCGCAACUUAUUAUGUUGCAGGAUUUUCAGAUGAUCAGUGAGAUACAGUAUGGUCACGAGUCUUCACUCGGCAUUUUCGCCAUGGGCAUUGAUGGGACUCAUCGUUUAUUAUGCUACUUCCCGAUGUUAUUAUUUAAUAAAGUUAGCUAUGUGCUACGAGAUUGUAAUACAUUAUAAUUUCUCGAUCAUACGUUGUAGUUAAUGAUGCACUUGUUAUUUGGUAUUCAUAUGCAUUGUGUGUGCUAGCGAGUCAAUUCAGGGACUAGCACAAUAAGCAUAGAGACAUCGAAUCUUAUCAGGUUCAGGUUGUUACACUCUUAUAAGACACUAUCCUGAUGUGUAUAAGGCUGCAGUAUAGCACGACAUGGCCCGCAUAUGCUAUGCCAGCUAGUUGUACUUGAUACCGCUUCAAACAAAUCAUGCACCAAGCGUUGGUAGGUAUUGAGCUUGUACAUGGGCCAUUAACAGGAACGACGACCAGGAUGGAAUUCAGCAGUCCCAUUAAACACAUGUUUGAUAGACCAAAACAUUAUUAUCGUAAGUAAACAGUUGUGAUCAAAUCGUGCUAAUUAAUUAUUUUUCAUAUAGUAAAUUUGAAAAAUCAAUGUAGGUAGCUAGAUUCAAAGUUUAACCCAUUAUCAAGCACAUAAGCCACACGUAGGGUAUGAGGCACAUAUUCAGUACAUAUAGCUAGUUCUAAUUAGGUCGGUUGUUUAGUUUUAAAAGGGGGUCACUUAAGCAUUGUCGGCACCUGUACAAGACCCGACACAUAUUCUCCAUCGGAUUCCUGGUUUUUGAAUCUCUCACUGGCAUGACGCCGUGGAUUAGCUAAUCAUUCAUUGAGAUAGUUAUUGCGUGGCGGGCCACAGCCCACCUCGCCAACUGCACACGCUAUAAAUCAGCCACCAAAAGGACUUUCUCCCGUCUACUGUUCUUCUUCCCCAUAGGCUUAGGUUUAGCCCGAUGGAAGUAAGCAUCCCAUCAUUUUAAAAUCAAUUCAAACUUAAGUUCAUCGACCUGAAUGGAUCAUCAUGACAAUGAACUAGACAUAUGUGAAUAUAUUCUUCAUCAACGGUCACAUCGCAAGUUGAUACCAGGUGCACAAACAGGUUGUCAACUAAUAAUUGACUUAAUAGUACAAUACACAAUAUUUAGUUCUACUAUUCAACAAAGUAGGAAAUAUGCUAGCGCAGGUGAAACAACUGAAUCAUGUCUACAAUAUUUCCUUGUCACAACUGCUCCUCCUGUGACCAAGCACACCACAAUUUGAACACUUAGGAGCUUUCUUCGGAGGUUUUGGGAGUUCACUGCGGUCAGGGCAAGUGGAACUCUUAUGGCCUUCCUUUCGACAAAUCUUACAGAACCUAGAGCAUUUCACAGGCUUCUCAUUAGGCGGCUUGUGGUUGGCCUUCCCAUGGAUCUUUUUAUUUUAGGGGCGCUGAUUGAAGAGACAACGUCAUCAUCUCCAUCUAACUCACCUUCUCCCAUUCCACCUGCCAGUGCUGCAGCUUCCCUAUCUGCAACACCCAUACUGUCUCGUUCAGCAGAGAUUGGUGCUAACUUUGCUUUAGCUUGUUGCAGUAGUAACUUGGCUACUUCAUAAGACUGUACAUUUGCAUCACCCAUUCGAACAAGCUCUAGUGCAGAUAAAUAAAGCUUGGUGUGUCUUGCCGUACCUGAUUUGGGCAACCCUUGAUAGUUUUGAUACAUUACUAGAUCCUUAUGGAGUAUGUCCUUCGCAUCCCUAGUCCAACGCUUGACAAUAUGUUUCACUGGGAUCUCGCCAAUACGGAGAUGUAGUAUAACCUGGCAAUCCAAUCCCAUUAUUGAUUGAUAAUGAUCUUGUGUAAUAAAAACCAUCACGACAAAUUUAAUGGAGUUCGACAAAAUUACCUUGAUCGCAUGGCAGCAAAGCAUCCCAGAGUGGGCAAAGAACCCACACUCACACAAGAAUUCAACCUUCGUCUCGUUUGUUUCCACCUUGAAAGUAACUUUGCACCACUUAUCUCUUGAUGCCGAGUCAACAUGGUGUGCAAAAUAAAUUUUGUGUGGAACGACUUCCUCGAUGUCAUAAGAACCGGAUUUGUACAACUUAUCUCCAAACCACUCAAACAUAGUUCUGGUGUAAAUUCUGCUUGCAUGCCGUUCAAGGGGAAAGUUUCCCUUCAGAACAAUUCCUACCUAUGAUAUCAUAAAAUUAAUAUAGACACGAGCAUCAACAACUAACUAAUUCUGCCAAGAUAAAUGCACAACUGAAAACUUACUAUUGAUGUCCUUUUUUCCUGAUAACUCUCCUUGGACCCGUGAUCAAACUGUAUCUUCUCGAACUGCUUAACAAAUGGAUGCAUUGGGAAACCAGGUGGGAUGUAUCCCUUCAGUAGGUGAUUGGAACUUUCACUCCUCUACAUGUUGGUCAUCUUCGCACAGAACACUCCCAUGAAGUAAGGCUUGGCCCACUUCUUCCACACUUCAUAAGCCUGGGUCAGGAAUGUAUGCUCCUGCAAACCAUACUUUGUUAGCAUAUCACCCCACCCAUUUUCAAAUUCUUCUACCGUCAGAACAUGGUGAACAAGCAUGUGUAAGCCCGUCUUGAACUCUGAUUUCUUGCCAUACAGUACUCCAAGGCUUUCCUUAACCUUCCGAAGAAUGUGCCACUUGCACCACCGGUGAGGCAGUUCAUCUAUAAUCGCCAACUCAAUAGCACGAGCUUUGUCUAAAAAUGUCAAUCAUGAAUAAACCAAGACACCAAGUUUAGGUACAUAAAACUAGAACUAGGAAUUAUGCUUGCCUCACCUGUUAGUAUAGUUAGUGGAGGCUUUGCACCAACCAUUCUGAUAAAUUCCUUGAACACCCAUUUAAAACUUUUGACCUUUUCAUCACUCAUCAUGACACCACCAAAUAUAAUACUCUGGAAGUAAUCAUUUACUCCUACAAAUAACCCAAAUGGCAUAUCAUACAAGUUUGUUCGGUAUGUUGUGUCAAAAGUUAUAGCAUCACCAAAAUACUUGUAUUGCUCGAUCUCCCGACCUAUUGCCCACAUAAGUGUUUUUACAUGGCUCUCUUCAUCAACUUGGACGUUGUAAGUAAAAUCAUUAUCUGCUGCUUUCAGAUCCUGGAGUAGAUUAUUGUCUUGGUUGAAUUGUUGUCCGAUUGCUCCCUGCUCAACUUACCACACAAAGUGCGCAAAGCCCUCUUGGUGAGAUUUCCAAUGUGCCAAAAAAACUUCCAACAAUGCUGAGGCUAACAUUAUCCCUGAGCUGUUGCACCAAAUUUCGAGUGUACCUCUCAAUGUGCCUAUGAGAUUUCCAAUGCAACUUCCCUCCGCAAGUCAGCGACACCCGGUGGUUGUGAACUAUACGGUGCUCGCAUAACUACCAACCAUUGUCUGAUGAUCUCAACAAUCUGAUCAUCAUUGUACACUCGCACCUGGUGGACCUGCUAUUUUUUUAACGGGCUUCCCCUGUGAGACAUUAAUCAUGAAAUGAGACCCAAUUUUUUGGCGACCAACAAUAAAUGAACUAUAUUGUGAAUUGUCAUGGGGUGAAACAUAUCGCGCAUGCACAAACGAUUUCCUACAUGCACUUCAUUCGGUGAACGUUCAAACAGCUCUUUGCGAACCUAACACCAAAUCCUCUUUCCCACAAAUAUAGGUUGUAGAAUUCGUAAGCCUUGUCCAGUGAAUCGAACAAUUUGCCAAAAGUUGGGUUGACUACAACUCCCUCCUUGCGCUUAACAAAUUCUCUGAUGGACAUUUCCAGAUCACUUCUCCUGUUUGGAUUGAACUCCCUUUCAGUGAUAGCCUUCCGCACUCUCACCCUGAAUAAUGACAAAGCAAACAUUACUGGCUUCAUCGCUUAUGCACUGUCAAAAAUUUGGCUUGGCGGCAGUAGCAUAAUAAUGUGAAUCGUUAAUCACAGAGACCAACAAUUUCAUGCAAUGGAGUAGUAUUAUUCCAUCGUUAACAAUGUUAUAAAAAUAUAAAUUAACCAGUAGAAACCUUUGUUGAAUGAGCCACCAACAUUUUCAGCAAUUAACAAACAUAAGAUGUACUACUAUUCACUAGAUUCCUAUUUAGGAAAACCAGUUGCUAUUUGCCAUGAAUAUCAAAUCAGGAACAUGUAGAAUACUAAUCAAUGGAGGGGAAAUUCAUGUAUAUUCUUAUCAACAUUCAACCCACAUACAUUAUUUGGUAACUGUGUUUUAAUGUAGCGAUCCGACCUCAGACGGUCAAAUCUCUGUGUUCAGUGUCAUCCCUGGAUCGGUAAUGCCGACACACACAGUACUCCAAGGAUUUAUAACAGAGUAGCAAUCACACACUUAUUACAUCGAAUGUCUCAAAAGAGAACUUAUUACAAUAAAUAUGGCUUAAGGCCAUCUAAAUAAGAUAACAACGGAAGGCUUGGAAGAUAAAAUGAGUCCAUCAACUCCAACGUUGUAGCUGACUGCAUGAAAAAUGACCUAGCGCACCUUACUCCUCUUCUGAAAAGUCUGCAACAUGAUAUGUUACAGCCUGAAAAUGGGUCAACACAUGGAAUAUGCUGGCAAUAUAACACAGUAGAGCAAUGAACAGAUAAAUGCUAUCACUAUAUGCAUAUAUGGCUGGUGGAUGCUCUAUGGUUAUAAUGUUUUUGCGAAAAGCCAAUUUUUCCCUACAACAAAGGAAUAUAUUUUACGUAACAAUCAUUGUGGUUGAAACAUUGAGAAUGGUACCACCAUCUCAAUCCCAAUUAAAAAGUGUAUGUUAGCAACCCAAUAAAUUAAUUUAGAGUGAUGAGAUCAAACCAAUAAUUCAAGUGCCAGAUACUCAAGUUGUCCAUAAUCGGGGACACGGCUAACCAUGAUUAGUUUGUACACUCUGCAGAGGUUUGCACACUUUUCCCCACAAGACUCGACCUCCUUCAUUGGAUUUCUCAAACUGCAUGGUGUUUGAGAAACGGAUGACCGAGACACAGUCUUUCAGAAGCAUUAACUCUAACCCGAGUAGACAGUACCAACCUACAUCCCCUACAUAUGCUAACCUACAACUGUAAGAGGUCAUGCAACAUACUCAACUAUGCUAGAGCUCAUAAUAGCUUGUGGCUGCAUACAGAAGUUUCUAGCAUGAAUAAUAUUAUGAUCCCUUUGAGCCUGGGUGGUGGACCAUAGGAGGAUCACAUGGUAUAACCCCGGGAUCUCCUAGGACAACACAGGUAUAACCCUAGGUGCCCAAACCAACAAUCCACCCAGAUGUUUAUUAAAGUUGCCACCUUAAGUUGUACCAUUAGUUAACAAUCUCACAUCUGUCAUGGAUACACUCAAACCCAAUCCACGUCUACGAGCAUAGCAUGGCGAUAUAAGCAUAACGUAGAAGUAACUCCCAAGGUUUGAUAAUAAAACAGGUAAUUGGUUCUACCUCAUCAUCUACUUCCCAAUACCCACAAGUUAAAUACAUCCUAAUCAUGCAGUGUUUGAGGAUAGUAACUAAUGCAAAAAAAACUAGGUAUGAAAAGAGUACGAUCAAUGUGUUACUUGCCUUACUGACGAUCCGCAAAACCUAGUGACUCGUAGUAGCACGCUUCACACACUAGGAAUUCUAUCGCAAACAAACAAUAGCAUACAUAAGAAAUCAAGAAAAGGUGCACGGGUAAAACUCAAAUAAGAAGAUUGAAGCUAAAAACUCAACUAAAAAGAUUCGAUCUGCAAAAAGAAUCAACCAAAUCGGAGCUACGGAACUGAAACUACGAAAGAAACAAGAUCCGUUUACUAAUCUGGACUAAAGUCAAAUUUUACAGUACCAAAAUCUUGUUCAAGUUGUUUAAACAGAAAGAGGGCUUCGAGAAGAAGAUCUCGGCGCUUGUUUCACCUGAUUUGAAUAAACGAACGAAAAGAUAAACUAAAACGAAGAUCAGGGCAAAAAUCACAAUCGAAAAUAAUCGCAGAAAAACCCUAGAAAAUAAAACGAGACGAACAGGCUAACGAACGAACGUUCGCUGUCUGCGGCUAACCGAAGAACAUCGUUCGUUAAAACGAACUUCGGACGAACGUCUGCUCUUUAACUAAACCAAACAAAAACCAAUCUAAAAAUAAAAUAGAUCUAGGGUUUUUACCGAAAAUAAAACCGAUGAAAACCGGCGAAGAAAACAGGCGGCACGAACUCCGGCGAGGCGGUGGGCGGCGGCAUGGGAGGCAGCGUGGCGGCGGCGGCGCUAGGGUUAGGGUUUGGGGCGGCGGCGGCUGGGCCUCGGGGCGCCUAGGGCUUAUAAAGCCUGAGCUCGGACGAGUCCGGCUCUGGCACAGCCCGAUAGGUCGGUUGACUUUUUUUUAAAAUAAUCCUGAUGCGGAAAAACUAACAAAAGAUAUACUAAAUGGAGUCCAAAAAUCCUGAAAUAAAAUUUCACGGUCCUCUAAUAAUAUUGCGGACAAGGUGAACAUCUAUUUGGGCCUCUAAUGCAAUUUUGAACAACACAUAUGUUUCCUAAUUCAAAAUAAAAUAGCAAUAAAAUCCAAAUGAUAUUAUUUAUUUUAUUUUAACAUUGUUCCUCCAGUAUUUCUUUUGUUUUGGAGAAGUCAUAUUAUCUCCUCUCAUAUAUUUUAAUAUGAAAUAUUUUUGAAGGGAAAAAUAAUUAAAACCAAAAUGAUCCUUGUUUCGAUAUUUGAAAAAAGAUUAAGAUAUGAAAAUCGUGAAAUCCCCAACUCUCUCCGUGGGUCCUUGAGUUGCUUAGGAUUUUCUAGGAUCGCAAAACAAAAUGCAAUAAAAUAUGAUAUGCAUGAAUGGCCUAUUUAUAACAUUACAAAUUGAAAUUUUGGGAUGUUACAAACCUACCACCCUUAAAGAUGAAUCUCGCCCUCGAGAUUCGGGUUGGAUAGAAAAUAGAUGUGGGUGGUCUUUCCUUAGGUCAUCUUCUCGUUCCUAGGUGGCUUCGUCCUCGGUAUGGUGGCCCCACUGAACUUUGCUAAACUUGAUAACCUUGCUGCGUGUAACUCGGCUGGCAAACUCGAGAAUCUUGAUGGGUUUCUCCUCAUAGGUCAGAAUACUAUCCAACUGAAUUGGUUCCAGGGGCACUGUAUCUCUCAGAGGGAUAUCGGCCAUUUCAGCAUGGCACUUCUUUAACUAGGAAACGUGAAACACAUCAUGAACUCCUGACAGUCCUUCGGGUAACUCCAACUUGUAGGCCACCUCUCCCAUACGUUCCAAAACUCGGUAUGGUCCUACAAAUCUUGGGGCUAACUUUCCCUUUACUCCAAAGCGUUUAACUUCUCGCAGUGGUGGCAUACGAAGAUAUGCUCUAUCUCCGAUUUCAUAGACUACCUCCUUGCAUUUUGAGCCUGCAUAACUCUUCUGCCUGAACUGAACUACCUUCAGUCUAUCUCGAAUCAGCUUAACCUUCUCUUCUGACUCUUUAAUCAAAUCUAGUCCAAACAACUGACGGUAUCCAACUUCAUCCCACAUCAACGGUGUUCUGCACCUCCUUCCAUACAAAGCUUUGAAAGGUGCCAUCUUCAAACUGGCCUAGUAGCUAUUGUUGUUUGAGAACUCCGCAUAGGGUAAAUUGUCGUCCCAACUAGAUCCGUAAUCUAGUGCACAAGCUCUCAACAUGUCCUCUAGAAUCUGAUUGACUCUCUCAGUCUGUCCAUCUGUCUGCGGGUGAAAAGUUGUACUGAACUCUAGCCCGGUACGCAAAGUUUGGUGCAGCUGGUGCCAAAAUGUUGAAGUAAACUGCAUUCCUCUAUCUGAUACGAUGGUCCUUGGAACUCCGUGCAGACAUACGAUCCUGGUCAUAUAUAUCUUGGCCACUUGUAUAGGUGGUCUUCACUGGGAUAAAGUGAGCAACUUUGGUCUAACGAUCCACUACUACCCAAAUAGAAUCAUAUCCCGAUCGGGUCCUGGUCAAUCUGGUGAUGAAAUCCAUGCCAAGCUUGUCCCACUUCCAUUCAGGUAUCGGCAUAGGCUGCAGUAAUCCUGCUAGCUUCUAAUGUUCUGCCUUCACUUUCUGACAUACAUCACAUACGGCCACAUACUCGGCAAUAUCUUUCUUCAUUCCAGUCCACCAGAAACGCUCCUUCAAAUCCAAAUACAUCUUGGUGUUUCCGGGGCGUAUUGAGUAGGGCGAGUCAUGAGCUUCCUGAAGUAUCAGCUUCCUGAUCUCUGCAGUAUUGGGCACAUAAACAUGGUCCUCAAACCACAAGGUGUCGUGCUCAUCUUCCCGAAAACCUUUGGCUUUUCCUUUGCUCAUUCUCUCCUUUAUCUCAACAAUUUCUUUGUCAUCCUUCUGAGCUUCUCAAAUAUUUACCAAUAAUGUUGACUGAACCUCCAUUGCUGCAACGAAACCUCUAGGGACUAUCUCCAAACGAAGCUCCCUGAGAUCCUCGGCUAACUCCUUUGGCAAUCCUCCACUUACGAGGGUAUUGUCAUAACUCUUCCGGCUCAAGCCGUCUGCUACGACAUUGGCCUUACCUGGAUGACAGUGCAACUUCAUAUCAUAAUCCUUUAUGAGCUCCAACCAUCUCCUUUGCCUGAGGUUCAGCUCCUUCUAUGUGAAAAUGUACUUCAAACUCUUAUGAUUCAUGUACACAUCACAACGGUUUCCAAUAAGAAAAUGUCUCCAGGUCUUGAGCGCUUGCACUACGGCUGCUAACUCCAAAUCAUGCGUGGUAUAAUUCAACUCAUGUGGUCGAAGCUGUCGUGAGGCAUAUGAAACAACUCUUCCGUCUUGCAUGAGUACUCCUCCAAGUCCUAAGCGAGAUGCGUCGCAAUACACUUGGAAAUCCUUGCGUAUAUCUGGCAAAAUCAGCACUAGGGCUGUAACCAAACGUUCCUUCAACUCCUGGAAACUUGCUUCACAUUCAUAUGUCCAUUUGAACUUAGUACCUUUUUUCAACAAUGCCGUCAUAGGCUUUGCAAUCUUGGAAAAAUUCUCAAUGAAUCUCCGAUAGUAUCCCGCGAGUCCAAGAAAAUUGCGGAUCUCUCCAACUGAGGUGGGUGCCAACCACUCAGUGACUGACUAAACCUUGGUGGGAUCCACUACUAUACCUUCUCCUGAUAUAACGUGUCCAAGAAAUCCAACUUCCUUCAACCAAAACUCACACUUGCUGAACUUGGCAUAUAACUCAUGUUCCCUAAGCUUCUUGAGAACUAAACGCAAAUGCUCCUUGUGUUCCUCUUCAUUCUUUGAGUAUACCAAAAUAUCAUCAAUGAACACCACAACAAACUUAUCCAAGAACUCCAUGAAUACCUUGUUCAUCAUGCUCAUAAAAUAGGCAGGGGCGUUAGUCAAUCCAAAUGACAUAACCAUAUACUCAUAUAGCCUGUACCUCGUGGUGAAGGCGGUCUUAGGUAUAUCUUGUUCUCGGAUCUUCAACUAAUGGUAUCCUGAACGUAGAUCGAUCUUGGAGAAUACUUUAGCUCCUUGCAGCUGGUCAAAUAGAUCAUUGAUCAUCGACAGUGGGUACUUGUUCUUGAUCGUCACUUCAUUCAACGCACGAUAAUCAACAGCCAUUCUUAAUGAUCCAUCCUUCUUCUCAACCAAGAGCACUAGGGCUCCCCAUGGUGACGAGCUUCGUCAAAUGUAACCUUUCUCCAAUAACUCCUUAAUCUGCUUCUUAAUCUCCUACAGAUCAUUUGCGGGCAUCCGGUAUGGUCUCUUUGAUAUUGGUCCGGUGCCUGGCAAUAUCUCUAUCAAAAACUCAAUGUCUCGAUCUGGCGGCAUGCCUGGUAACUCCUCUAGAAAUACGUCUGGGUAAUCCUUCACUACAUGCACUUCCUCCUCAACAACUCCUAAGAGUGAAUUUACUUGGGUUCUGCUCGGCGCAUGCCUGGAUACAUACUUGAUCCUUUUUCUCUCCGGGGUGGUGAGUAGAAUUGACCUACUAGCAUAGUCAAUAUUUCCUCCAUACUUCGAUAACCAAUCCAUUCCCAGUAUCACCUCCAAUCCUUGUGACUCCAAAAUUAUUAGGUAUGAGGGGAAAACAUGGCUACCAAUGGUAAGGGUAUCCGAUCGCACCAUCGCCUGGCCAUAUACUCUGCACCUGGUGAGAUUACUAACAAGGGUGCCCUAAGGGCUACGGUGGGUAACUUAAACUUGUCCACAAAUCCCCUUGAAAUGUAUGAAUGCGAUGCACCGGUAUCAAAUAGAACAAGAGUGGUAAUGACUUAACCAAAAACUUACCGAUAACUGCAUCUGGCUGCUCUUGAACCUCCUCCACGUUCACGUGGUUCACUUGUCCCCUGUUGAAAGGGUUGGGAUUCUUCCCAUCGCUUCCAUUGAAAUUUCCAUUCUUCAACUCCGGACAAUCAUUGGCGUAGUGCCCAGUCUUGCCGCACUUGAAACAGGUAAUGUGACUUUGAUCCUUCUUGGCGGGUGUGGCUCGGUUAGAGCAAUUCUGAUUGCUACCUGCUCCAUUUCCCGUUUCCUUUCUUGGGGCCACUAUGGUUAUGCGUACUUCCUCCAUUGUGAGUGUGGCCUCCAUGGUUAUGGGUAUAUCCUCCCGAGUUUGGGGUAAAUCGAGGCUUCUGCUGGGCUCCUGAAUUGUACUUCCCUUGUCCAUACUUCCUUUUGCGGCUCUCAAUCUGCUGUUGCUUCCCUUCAAUCAUAAGAACCCUGUCUACCAACUCCCGGUAGUUAGCGAAUGUUGCUACCAUCAACUGCAUGCUCAUCUCAUCAUUCAACCCUUCCAUAAACUUCUCCUGUUUCGCGGCAUCCGUGGCCACAUCAUCAGGGGCAUAGCAAAAUAACUUACUGAACUCAUCUACGUAUUGAGUCACAGUAUGAUUUCCCUUGCGUAAGUUGCGAAACGGACGCUUCUUCAUAUUCAUAGCUCCAGUUGAGACAUGAGCAGUGCGGAAUGCUUGCCGAAACUGAUCCCAAGUGAUAUUGGCUAUAGGGAAAGUGGCUGUGUAAUUCUCCCACCAUGAGGCUGCUGGUCCAUCCAACUGAUGUGCGGCAAAACGCACCUUAUAUACAUCUGUGCAACCUGUGGUGGUCAACUCCCUUCCAAUCCUGCUUAGCCAGUCAUCCGCAACUAUUGGCUCGGUGCUACUAGAAAACACCGGCGGCUGCAACCUCAGAAAACGGGCUAAGUUGUCAACUGGAGGAGGUGGUGGCGGGUUGUUGUUGUUGUUGCCUUGGUUUUGGACUAAUAGCUACAUCAAGGCAUUCUGCUACUAGGUCAACUGGAUGAGCUCCGGUGGGAAGGAAAAUCCGGUGUCACAUCUCGGAGGCAUCUGAUGGGUUUAGAGGGGAUAGAUUAGAAUAGAAUGAGGUCUAGUGGGGAAACACUACCCAUAUGCACAUGAGUCAAACACAAUCAUAUCACACCAAAUCAAUUCAAGCAAGGGCAUACAAUCAGUCUAGAACUACCGUUACAAAAGUGCUUGGACUACUACUAUAUACAUGGGGGAAUACAACUAAUCUUAUGGUGGUCAUCUAGAAAUUUUGAUCGGUGGAAGAUUCCAUGAUAUCCGCUCCAGCUUCGUCUUCAUAAUCAUCAUCACUAUCGUCGGGGUCGGAGUCGGUGUCGUCGAUGAUGAUGUAGUCUUCAGAACGAAUUUCCUUGGGUUCGUCGUCUUCUCCUCCUGGUGUGGGGUCUCCCAUGAAUACUCCGAGCUUCCUUAUUAGGUCAUCAUUCAUCUCCACUAGUAUUGCGAUUUCCUCCUCAUAUCCGUCACGUGUAGACUUGAGUUCCUCUUCUAGCUCCAUGUUCCUGGUCAUCGCCUUCUUCAAAUCUAUCAUGCUUGCAUACAUCUGGUUCUCCUGGCAACGGAUGUGCUGGUUUAACUCCUGGAUGAAAGCUCCAAUGGACCUAUCCUUCAUGGUGCUGAUCAUCUCUCAUUGCUCAUCUCGGCGCCCACAUAUCUGGUAGAUAGUGUCCUUCAGCUCCUAUUUGUAGACUUCUCCAAUUCAUCCCAUAGCAAUGUGGGCUGCCAUGCUCUUGCCUAGACUCCAGGUGGGUGCAUCAAAGGAAAACUCCAUGGGCUCAGUGACUGGUGUGAAUUUCCUUCCUGGAACUUGAACUCGAAUCAUCCAACGCUCCUCUUAUGGUAAAGUGGCGGUGUAGGUCCCGGUGAAGCAUGGUAUUCCUAUGUUCAGGUACCUAGUGAUUUCCUUCAAGUGUCGUCCAAAAGGUGUGUCUUCAUCCGGUUGUGCAAACUUGUUCCUUGAGUCCGCCAUCCUAAAGGGUAGAAAAUGGAGAGGAGUCAGAAAUGAGUAGAGAAGAGUGACCUAUGGCUCAUCUUAGUGGUCGUGCCCUCCAUUCAACGUGUGCUCUGGUACCAUCUUGUAGCGAUCCGACCUUAGACGGUCAAAUCUCUGUGUUCAGUGUCAUCCCUGGAUCGGUAAUGCUGACACACACAAUACUCAAAGGAUUUAUAACAGAGUAGCAAUCACACACUUAUUACAUCGAAUGUCUCAAAAGAGAACUUAUUACAAUAAAUAUGCCUUAAGGCCAUCUAAAUAAGAUAACAAUGGAAGACUUAGAAGAUAAAGUGAGUCCAUCAACUCCAACGGCAUAGCUGAGUGCAUGACAAACGACCUAGCGCACCUUACUCGUCUGAAAAGUCUGCAAAAUGAUAUGUUGUAGCCCGAAAACGGGUCAGCACAUGGAAUAUGCUGGCAAUAUAACACAGUAGAGCAAUGAACAGAUAAAUGCUAUCACUAUAUGCAUAUAUGGCUGGUGGAGGCUCUAUGGUCAUAAUGUUUUUGCGAAAAGCCAAUUUUCCCCUACAACGAAGGAAUAUAUUUUAUUUAACUGUGGUUGAAACAUUGAGAAUGGUACCCCCAUCUCAAUCCCAAUUAAAAAGUGUACAUUAGCAACCCAACAAAUUAAUUUAGAGUGAUGGGAUCAAACCAAUAAUUCAAGUACCAGAUACUCAAGUUGUCCAUAACUGGGGACAUGGCUAACCAUGAUUAGUUUGUACACUCUGCAAAGGUUUGCGCACUUUUCCCCACAAGACUCAAUGUCCUUCGUUGGAUUUCUCGCACUACAUGGUGUUUGAGAAAUGGAUGACUGAGACACAGUCUUUCAGAAGCAUUAACUCUAACCCCGGGUAGACAGUACCAACCUACAUCCCCUAUAUCUGCUAGCCUACCACUAGAAGAGGUCAUGCAACAUACUCAACUAUGCUAGAGCCCAUAAUAGCUUGUGGCUGCACACUGAAGUUUCUAGCAUGAAUAAUCUUAUGACCCCUUUGAGCCUGGGUGGCGGACCAUAGGAGGAGCACACGGUAUAACCCCGGGAUCUCCUAGGACAACACGAGUAUAACCCCAGGUGCCCAAACACUACUAGGGAAAAGCCUAGCAGUAGCGCGGGUUUUAGGUAUAUCAGUAGCGCGGGUGCCCGUACUAAUACGGCACUACAACUAACUAGUAGUAGUAGUAGCAUGGGUGCCACCCGCGCUACUACUAUGUCCGUUAGUAGUAGCAUGGAUACCACCUGCGCUACUACUAACUAGUAGUAGCGUGGGUCUGGACCCUCGCUACUGCUAACUAAUUCGGAAUUAAAAAAUAAAUUCUAGCCAUGGCUGCUGCUAGCAAGCUAGGCGUCAUUGUCCUCUUCAUUCAUGGUCGAUGCUGAUCCUAGAGGGGAUGAAGUCAUCCAUGGUGAUACACCUCUCCUUUGCUGCUGCUACAGAAAAAGAGACAAGGAUUAGAAGAGGAAGAGAGAGAUAAAGAGGAGUAGGUGCAGCAACUCACCGGUGGCCGCCGGAGUUGGAGUCGAAACCCUAGAUGAUGCCAUGGAUGGCGCUCUGCUCGAUCUGGAAAAUGAAGAGAGAGAGAGGAUUAGGAAGAACAACUCACCUGUGGUUGUGUCCAUGGAAGAUCUGGCUGCCGCCAUGGAUGGCGCUCUACUGGAUCUCCCUCUCCUUCCAACAUUAGAGAAGGAGGAGGAAGGAGGGGGAGGGGGCUGCGGUGGUGUGGAGGUUGCCGGAUUUGGGGGAGGCAUGAGGUGCGAGGCUGGCGGUGGUGGAUGAGGAAGGGAAUCACGGGUGAGAGGGAGAAGCGGAAUGGGAGAGCCUAUGGAGAGAGGGGGGAGAGUGAGGGAGAGAGGAAGGAUUCAACCGAGGAUAUGGAGACAUCACCUACCUUGUACUUAGUAGUAGCGAGGGGUAUAAACCCGCGCUACUACUAUCAACUUAGUAGUAGCGCGGGUUCAUACCCCUCGCUACUACUAUGGCAUGUCUUCGGGGGGCAUGGUAGAGACUGCUUAGUAGUAGCGAGGGUUAAAAACCCACGCUACUACUAUCAACUUAGUAGCAACGAGGGGUAAAAAACGACGCAACGAGGGGUAUAAACCUGCGCUACUAGUAAGCGCUUGUCUAUAAGCUUUUCCCUAGUAGUGAAACCAACAAUCCACCCAGAUGUGUAUCAAAGUUACCACCUUAAGUUGUACCAUUAGUUAAUAAUCUCACAUCUGUCAUGGAUACACUCAAACCCAAUCCACGUCUACUAGCAUAGCAUGGCAAUAUAAGCAUAACGUAGAAGUAACUCCCAAGGUUUGAUAAUAAAACAGGUAAUAGGUUCUACCUCAUCAUCUACCUCCCCAUAUCCACAAGUUAAAUACAUCCUAAUCAUUCAGUGUUUGAGGAUUGUAACUAAUGCAUAAAAAAUGGAUAUGAAAAGAGUAUGAUCAAUGUGUUACUUGCCUUGCUGACGAUUCGCAAAACCUAGUGACUCGUAGUAGCACGCUUCGCACUCCAAGAAUUCUAUCACAAACAAACAAUAGCAUGCAUAAGCAAUCAAGCAAAGAUGCACAUGUAAAACUCAAAUAAGAAGAUCGAAUCUGAAAACUCAACUAAAAAGAUUCGAUCUGCAAAAAGAAUCAACCAAAUCGGAGCUACAGAACUGAAACUGCAAAAGCAACAAGAUCCGUUUACUAAUCUGGACUAAAGUCAAAUUUUACAGUACCAAAAUCUUGUUCAAGUUGGUUAAACAGAAAGAGGGCCUCGAGGCGAAGAUCUAGGCGCUUGUUUCACCUGAUUUGGAUAAACGAGCGAAAAUAUAAACUAAAACGAAGAUCAGGGCAGGAAUCGCGAUCGAAAAUAAUCGCGGAAAAACCCUGGAAAAUAAAAUGAGACGAACAGGCUAACGAACGAACGUUAGCUGUCUGCGGCUAACUGACGAACAACGUUCGUUAAAACGAACUUUCGGACGAACGUCCGCUAUUUAACUAAACCGAAGAAAACCUAAAAAAAUCGAUCUAAAAAUAAAACCGAUCUAGUGUUUUUACCGAAAACAAAACCGACGAAAACUGGCGAAGAAAACCGGCGGCGCAAACUCCGGCGAGGCGGUGGGCGGCGGCGGCUGGGCGGCGCUAGGGUUAGGGUUUGGGGCAGCGGCGGCUGGGCUUUGGGGCGCCUCGGGCUUAUAAAGCCCGAGCUCGGACGAGUCCGGCUCGGGCACGGCCCGAUAGGUCGGUUGACUUUUUUUAAAAUAAUCCCGACGCGGAAAAACUAACAAAAGAAAUACUAAACAUACUCCAAAAAUCCUGAAAUAAAUUUUCACGGUCCUCUAAUAAUAUUGCGGACAAGGCGAACAUUUAUUUGGGCCUCUAAUGCAGUUUUGAAAAACACAUAUUUUUCCUAAUUCAAAAUAAAAUAGCAAUAAAAUCCAAAUAAACUUAUUUAUUUGAUUUUAACAUUUUCCUCCAAUAUUUCUUUUAUUUAUGAGAAUUCAUAUUAUAUCCUCUCAUAUAUUUUAAUAUGAAAUAUUUUUGAAGGAAAAAAUAAUUAAAACCAAAAUGAUCCUUGUUUCGAUAUUUGAAAAAAGAUUCAAAUAUGAAAAUCGUGGAAUCCCCAACUCUCUCCAUGGGUCCUUGAGUUGCUUAGGAUUUUCUAGGAUCGCAAAACAAAAUGCAAUAAAAUAUGAUAUGCAUGAAUGACCUAUUUAUAACAUUCCAAAUUGAAAAUUUGGGAUGUUACAUUUAAGCACCAAAACAUUUCUAAUAUGCCAGUGAAUGACUAAUUUUUGCAAGUACGACCUCGUAGUCACUCCAGAUAUUGCCUCAGGGACCCAUCUUUGCUUCCAGAAUCCCCCACAAUGGCGUGUUUUUCACUAGCCUGAGAUGAAGCAGAUCCUUGGUUUCCAGAGCUCUCGAACACCACCGCUCUUGUGGCGCGUACCGGUUCCUGAACAUGCUUCUCCGAUGGAGCACUGGUGACCCACAAGUAUAGGGGAUCUAUUGUAGUCCUUUUGAUAAGUAAGAGUGUCGAACCCAACGAGGAGCAGAAGGAAAUGAUAAGCGGUUUUCAGCAAGGUAUUCUCUGCAAGUACUGAAAUAAGUGGUAACAUAUAGUUUUGUGAUGAGAUAAUUUGUAACGAGAAACAAGUAACAAAAGUAAAUAAAGUGCAGCAAGGUGGCCCAAUCAUUUUUGUAGCAAAGGACAAGCCUCGACGAACUCUUAUAUAAGGAAAAGCGCUCCCGAGGACACAUGGGAAUAUCGUGAAGCUAGUUUUCAUCAUGUUCAUAUGAUUCGCGUUCAGUACUUUGAUAAUUUGACAUGUGGGUGGACCGGUGCUUGGGUGUUGUCUUACUUGAACAAGCAUCCCACUUAUGAUUAACCUCUAUCGCAAGCAUCCGCAACUACAACAAAAGUAUUAAGGUAAACCUAACCAUAGCAUGAAACAUAUGGAUCCAAAUCAGCCCCUUACGAAGCAACGCAUAAACUAGGGUUUAAGCUUCUGUCACUCUAGCAACACAUCAUCUACUUAUUACUUCCCAAUGCCUUCCGCUAGGCCCAAAUAAUGGUGAAGUGUUAUGUAGUCGACGUUCACAUAACACCACUAGAGGCUAGACAACAUACAUCUCAUCAAAAUAUCGAAUGAAUACCAAAUUCACAUGACUACUAAUAGCAAGACUUCUCCCUUGUCCUCAGGAAUAGACGUAACUACUCACAAAGCAUAUUCAUAUUCAUAAUCAGAGGGGUAAUAAUAUGCAUAAAGGAUCUGAACAUAUGAUCUUCCACCAAUUGAACCAACUAGCAUCAACUACAAGGAGUAAUUAACACUACUAGCAACCUACUAGCACCAAUCCUGGACUUGGAGACAAGAAUUGGAUACAAGAGAUGAACUAGGGUUUUGAGAUGAGAUGGUGCUGAUGAAGAUGUUGAUGGAGAUUGCCCUCUCCCGAUGAGAGGAACGUUGGUGAUGACGAUGGCGAUUAUUUCCCCCUCCGGGAGGGAGUUUCCCCGGUAGAACAGCUCUGCCGGAGCUCUAGAUUGGAUCCGCCAAGGUUCCGCCUCGUGGCGGCGGAGUUUUGUCUCGAAAGGUUGCUGCUUAUUUUUUUCUCGACAAAAGACUUCUUAUAGGAGAAGAUGGUCAUCGGAGAGCCACCAGGGGGCCCNNNNNNNNNNNNNNNNNNNNNNNNNNNNNNNNNNNNNNNNNNNNNNNNNNNNNNNNNNNNNNNNNNNNNNNNNNNNNNNNNNNNNNNNNNNNNNNNNNNNNNNNNNNNNNNNNNNNNNNNNNNNNNNNNNNNNNNNNNNNNNNNNNNNNNNNNNNNNNNNNNNNNNNNNNNNNNNNNNNNNNNNNNNNNNNNNNNNNNNNNNNNNNNNNNNNNNNNNNNNNNNNNNNNNNNNNNNNNNNNNNNNNNNNNNNNNNNNNNNNNNNNNNNNNNNNNNNNNNNNNNNNNNNNNNNNNNNNNNNNNNNUCAGGACUUUUGGGGUUGUGCAGAAUAGUUCUCUAAUAUUUGCUCCUUUUCCGGCCCAGAAAAGAGUCUUGAUGACCCACAAGUAUAGGGGAUCUAUCGUAGUCCUUUCAAUAAGUAAGAGUGUCAAACCCAACGAGGAGCAGAAGGAAAUGAUAAGCGGUUUUCAGCAAGGUAUUCUCUGCAAGUACAGAAAUAAGUGGUAACAAAUAGUCUUGUGAUAAGGUAAAGUGUAACGAGCAACAAGUAACAAAAGUAAAUAAAGUGCAGCAAGGUGGCCCAAUCCUUUUUGUUGCAAAGGACAAGCCGGAACAAACUCUUAUAAUAGGAAAAGCGUUCCGGAGGACACAUGGGAAUAUCAUCAAGCUAGUUUUCAUCACGAUCAUAUGAUUCGCGUUCGAUACUUUGAUAAUUUGAUAUGUGGGUGGACCGGUGCUUGGGUGCUGUUCUUACUUGAACAAGCAUCCCACUUAUGAUUAACCUCUAUUGCAAGCAUCCACAACUACAACAAAAGUAUUAAGGUAAACCUAACCAUAGCAUGAAACAUGUGGAUCCAAAUCAGCCCCUUACGAAGCAACACAUAAACUAGGGUUUAAGCUUCUGUCACUCUAGCAACCCAUCAUCUACUUAUUACUUCCCAAUGCCUUCCUCUAGGCCCAAAUAAAGGUGAUGUGUUAUGUAGUCGACGUUCACAUAACACCACUAGAGGCUAGACAACAUACAUCUUAUCAAAAUAUCAAACGAAUACCAAAUUCACAUGACUACUAAUAUUAAGACUUCUCCCUUGUCCUCAGGAACAAACGUAAUUACUCACAAAGCAUAUUCAUAUUCAUAAUCAGAGGGGUAAUAAUAUGCAUCUAGGAUCUGAACAUAUGAUCUUCCACCAAAUAAACCAAUUAGCAUCAACUACAAGGAGUAAUCAACACUACUAGCAACCUACGAGCACGAAUCCCGGACUUCGAGACAAGAAUUGGAUACAAGAGAUGAACUAGGGUUUGGAGAUGAGAUGGUGCUGGUGAAGAUGUUGAUGGAGAUUGCCCUCUCCCGAUGAGAGGAGCGUUGGUGAUGAUUUCCCCCUCCCUGAGGGAAGUAUCCCCGGCAGAACAGCUCUGCAGGAGCUCUAGAUUGGUUCCGCCUCGUGGCGGCGGAGUCUCGUCCCGAAAAGUUCCUUCUUAUUUUUUUCUCAUCGAAAGACUUCAUAUAGGAGAAGAUGGAUGUCGGAGAGCCACCAGGGGGCCCACGAGGUAGGGGGCGCGCCCUAGGGGGGGAGCCCCCCACCCUCGUGAGAAGGGUGUGGGCCCCCUGGCCUUCAUCUUUGGCGAGGAUUUUUCUUUAUUUAUUUUAAGAUGUUCCGUGAAGUUUCAGGACUUUUGGAGUUGCGCAUAAUAGGUCUCUAAUAUUUGCUCCUUUUCCAGCCUAGAAUUCCAGCUGCCGGCAUUCUCCCUCCUUAUGUAAACCUUGUAAAAUAAGAGAGAAUAGCCAUAAGUAUUGUGACAUAAAGUGAAAUAACAGUCCAUAAUGCAAUAAAUAUCGAUAUAAAAGCAUGAUGCAAAAUGGAUGUAUCAACUCCCCCAAGCUUAGACCUCGCUUGUCCUCAAGCGAAAAGCCAAUAACAAUAAAUAUGUCCUCAUGUUUAGAGGUAGAAGCAUUGAUAAAAAUAAAAUACGGACAUGAAGGCAUCAUGAUUAUUCUCAUAACAGCAUCAUAUAUAGAUUUUGUCAUAUGAUUACUUAUGUUCAAGUGAUGAUCUAUUCACAAUGCAAAAGUAUAAAUCAUAAACCUUAUUGGGCUCCGACAAGCUAUAAUCUCAGUCAUUGAAGCAAUUGCAAUUUAUCAUAACAUCGGAAAGAGUCUAUGUCAGAUCUAAAAAGCAAGUCUAGAUACUCAACUAUCAUUUAGUCCUCCAUAAUUGCUAACACUCACACAAUACUUGUGGUUACGGAGUUUUAAUCGGACACAGACAAAGAUAGGGGCUUUAUAGUUUUGCCCCACAACCUUUUACCUCAAGGGUAAUGUCAAUAAUAAUGGUUCAUGCUCCCCUACAUCCAAUUAGGUAUAUAUAUCAUGUUCUUUCCAACAUGCUGAGCUUGCCAAAGGAUAAAAUGAAAAAGAAAAGGUGAAGAUCACCAUGACUCUUGCAUAAGGUAGAAGAUAAUAAUAAAGGAUAGGCCCUUCGCAGAGGGAAGCAGAGGUUGCCAUGCGCUUUUAUGGUUGGAUGCAUAAAAUCUCAAUGCGAAAGAACGUCACUUUAUAUUUCCCCUUGUGAUAUGAACCUUUAUUAUGCAGUCCGUCGCUUUUAUUACUUCCACAUCACAAGAUCGUAUAAAGCUUAUUUCUCCCACACCAAUCAAUCAUACAUAUUUAGAACAAUUUUUAUUGCUUUGCACCGAUGACAACUUACUUGAAGGAUCUUACUCAAUCCAUAGGUAGAUAUGGUGGACUCUCAUGGCAAAACUGGUUUAAGGGUAUUUGGAAGCACAAGUAGUAUUUCUACUUGGUGCAGAGAAUUUGGCUAGCACGAGGGGGAAAUGCAAGCUCAACAAGUUAGAGGAUCCAUGACAACAUACUUUAUCUCAGAUAUAAGAAAGACAUAACUCAUUACGUUGUCUUCCUUGUCCAACAUCAACUCUUUAGCAUGUCAUAUUUUAAUGAGUGCUCCCAAUCAUAAAAGAUGACAAUGAUAAUAUAUCUAUAUGUGAAAACCUCUCUUUCCUUAUUACUUCCUAUUAAUUGCAACAAUGACCAAAGCUAUGUCUGCCAAUUCCCAACAACUUUUAAUCAUCAUACUCUUUCUAUGUGAAGUCAUUACUCUCAAUAAGAUCAAUAUGAACUCUUUGUUUCUUUUUAUUCCUUUUCUCUUUUCUUUUAUUCACCCAAGAUCAUGGCAAAAUAAUCAUGCGCUUGACUCAACACUAAUCUUUAUUAUAUAUAGCUCACGGACUCGAUUACAUAGAGAGAUCAUAAAGCAAAACUCAAAACUAGAUCAUGCCAUAAACUUUAUUCUACUAGAUCAAGAUACUACUAUUAAGAUCAAACUAAGAAAAACGGUAAAGGUAGGAGUUGUGAUGGUGAUACGAUACCGGGGCACCUCCCCCAAGCUUGGCAGUUGCCAAGGGGAGUGCCCAUACCCAUGUGAUUAUAUCUCCUUCUUUGUUGUUGGUGUAAUAUUCUUGGUGAUUAUUCCCCUUAGGAUGCGGUUCUCCUCCUCGAGCUUAUUGACUUGCUGCUUGAGGUCCAUCAUUUCCUUACGAAGCUUUCCUGUGACAGCUAAAGCUCCUUGCACCCAGGGUGUUGCAUAGCUGCGGGAGAACAAGUGACACUCCUCUUCAUAUUUUCGUAAGCAAGAAAUCUAACAUUAGAAGGGAUAACCGAAUUUGGAGUAGCUGAGCUUGUAGUUCCCCCAUCGUGAACCCAGCUCGGAGGAGGGAGGUGACUUCUUUAUCCUCCAUGGCAUCUACUCUCAUCAAGUCAGCCUCCAUCUCUUCCUCCGUUGCUGGCCCAAAGUGGUCAGCGUCGCUGUUUGCCCUUGGUUCCGGUGCCGGAUUAGAUACCCGGCUCUCCCCGAUUGACUCUUGAGAAGACAUCUUGUUCUAAUCUGCAGCAUCAACAGCUCGAAAACAAAAACAGAGGAGGUUUGCAUGAUACGGGAGUCAAACCCUUCGAAAGGUUAUAUAAUGAAUUUUUACCGACCAAAAUACGUAUCGUGCAAGAAAACGGAGUCCGGAAGGCACACGAGGUGCUCACAAGGUAGGGGGCAUGCCCAGGGAGGUAGGGCAUGCUCACCACCCUCGUGGGGCCCUCGUAUCCUUCCCGGACUGCUACUUAUUUUUUUAUUUUUCUAAAUAUUCCAAAACGGAGAGAUAUUGCCUUAAAAAUUGUUUUGGAGUCGGUUUACUUACCGUACCACAUACCUAUUCCUUUUCGGAGUCUGAAACGUUCUGGAAAGUGUCCCUUAUGUAUUCCUCCGGGGUUACGAUUUCAAUAAUAUUGGUUUCAACAUUUUAUGGGAUUACCUGAGAUAUAAUGUUUAAUUCUUUGACCAUUUACCACCUUCGGAUUCGUGCUCUCAAAGUUGUUGAUUUUUAUGGCACCGAAACGAUAAACCUCUUCGAUAACAUAGGGGCCUUCCCAUUUAGAGAGAAGUUUUCCUGCAAAAAAUCUUAAACGAGAGUUGUAUAGAAAUACAUAAUCACCUACAUUAAACUCACGCUUUUGUAUCCUUUUGUCAUGCCAUCUUUUAACUUUUUCUUUAAACAACUUGGCAUUUUCAUAAGCUUGGGUUCUCCAUUCAUCAAGUGAGCUAAAAUCAUAGUUGAGCUCUUUAAUAGCCCAAUAUGCCUUAUGUUCUAGUUCGAGAGGUAAGUGACAUGCUUUUCCAUAAACCAUUUUAUGCGGAGACAUACCCAUAGGAUUUUUGUAUGCAGUUCUAUAAGCCCAUAAUGCAUCAUCAAGUUUCUUAGACCAAUUCUUUCUAGACCUAUUAACAAUCUUUUGCAAAAUUAAUUUGAUCUCUCUAUUGCUCAACUCUACUUGACCACUAGACUGUGGGUGAUAAGGAGAUGCAAUUCUAUGAUUAACAUCAUAUUUAGCAAGCAUUUUACAGAAAGCACCAUGAAUAAAGUGUGAACCACCAGCAGUCAUUAAAUAUCUAGGGACUGCAAACCUCGGGAAAAUAACUUCUUUAAGCAUUUUAAUAGAGGUGUUAUGAUCAGCACUACUAGUUGGAAUAGCUUCUACACACUUAGUAACGUAAUCAACAUCAACUAAAAUGUGUGUGUAUCCAUUAGAGGCAGGAAAAGGUCCCAUAUGAUCAAAGCCCCAAACAUCAAACGGUUCAAUAACAAGAGAAUAAUUCAUAGGCAUUUCUUGACGUCUACUAAUAUUACCAAUUCUUUUACAUUCACCACAAGACAAGACAAACUUACGGGCAUCCUUGAAGAGAGUAGCCCAAUAAAAACUAGAUUGCAAUACCUUAUGUGCAGUUCUGUCUCCAGCGUGGUGUCCUCCAUAAGAUUCGGAAUGACACUUGCGCAGGAUCUGUUCUUAUUCAUGCUCAGGUACACAACGUCUAAUAACACCAUUUACUCCUUCUUUAUAAAGAUGUGGGUCAUCCCAAAAGUAAUGUCUUAAAUCAUAGAAAAACUUUUUGUUUUGCUGGUAUGUGAAGCUAGGUGGUAUAAACUUAGCAACAAUAUAAUUAGCAUAAUCAGCAUACCAUGGAGUACUACGAGAAGUACUUAUAACAUUUAAUUGUUCAUCAGGAAAGCUAUCAUUAAUAGGUAGUGGGUCAUCAAGAACAUUCUCUAACCUAGACAAGUUGUCUGCAACGAGGUUCUCAGCUCCCUUUCUAUCAACAAUAUUCAAAUCAAAUUCUUGUAGCAAGAGAACCCAUCUAAUAAGUCUAGGUUUAGCAUCUUUCUUUUCCAUAAGAUAUUUAAUAGCAGCAUGAUCAGUGUGAAUAGUUACUUUAGAAUCAGCAAUAUAAGAUCUGAACUUAUCACAAGCAAAUACAACUUCUAAAAGCUCUUUUUCAGUAGUAGCAUAAUUUCUUUGAGCAUUGUCUAGAGUCUUACUAGCAUAAUGAAUAACAUUUAAUUUCUUAUCAACUCUUUGCCCUAGAACAGCACCUACAACAUAAUCACUAGCAUCACACAUAAUUUCAAAGGGUAAAUUCCAAUCAGGUGGAUGAACAACAGGUGCAGAGACUAAUGCUUUAUUAAGUAUUUCAAAUGCUUCUACACAAUCAUCAUCAAAGACAAAUGGUAUAUCUUUUUGCAAUAAAUUAGUGAGAAGACGAGAAAUUUUUGAGAAGUCCUUAAUGAACCUCCUGUAAAAUCCGGCGUGACCAAGGAAACUUCUUAUACCUUUGAUGUCCUUGGGACAUGGCAUCUUUUCAAUAACAUCAACCUUGGCUUUAUCAACUUCAAUACCUCUUUCAGAAACUUUGUGCCCCAAGACGAUACCUUCAUUAACCAUAAAGUGGCACUUUUCCCAAUUCAAGACAAGAUUAGUUUCUUCACAUCUCUGCAAAACUCAAUCAAGAUUGCUCAAGCAAUCAUCAAAAGAGGAACCAUAGAUGGAAAAGUCGUCCAUAAAAACCUCACAAAUCUUUUCACAAAAGUCAGAGAAUAUAGCCAUCAUACAUCUUUGAAAGGUAGUAGGUGCAUUACAUAAACCAAAAGGCAUACGUCUAUAAGCAAAAGUACCAAAAGGGCAUGUAAAAGUAGUCUUUGAUUGAUCUCUAGCCGACACAGGUAUUUGAGAGAAACCAGAAUAACCAUCUAGAAAGCAAUAGUGUGUAUGUUUGCAUAAUCUUUCUAGCAUUUGAUCAAUAAACGGUAAGGGGUAAUGAUCUUUCUUAGCAGCUUUAUUUAAUUUGCGGAAAUCAAUUACCAUCCUAUAACCUGUGAUAAUUCUUUGUGGAGUCAAUUCAUCUUUAUCAUUAGGAACAACAGUAAUACCUCCCUUCUUAGGGACACAAUGGACAGGACUUACCCACUCACUAUCAGCAACGGGAUAAAUUAUACCUGCCUCCAGAAGCUUGAGUAUUUCUUUUCUUGCCACUUCUUUCAUUUUAGGAUUCAGACGUCGUUGAGGAUCACGAACUGGUUUGGCAUCUGCUUACAAAUUUAUUUUAUGUUGACAUAGAGUGGGACUAAUGCCCUUAAGAUCAUCAAGAGUAUAUCCAAUAGCAGCACGAUGCUUCUUUAGAGUUUUCAAUAAUCUUUCUUCUUCAUGCUCUGAAAGGUUAGCACUAAUAAUAACAGGGUAUAUCUUCUUUUCAUCAAGAUAAGCAUAUUUAAGAUUAUCAGGCAAAGGUUUAAGCUCAAACACGGGAUCACCCUUGGGUGGAGGAGGAUCCCCUAAAAUUUCAACAGGCAAAUUGUGUUGCAGAAUAGGUUCCUGUUUAAAGAGUAUUUCAUCUAUUUCCCUUCUUUCAUUCAUGAACAUAUCAUUUUCAUGGUCUAGCAAAUAGUGUUUUAAAGGAUCACUAGGAGGUACGACAAUAGAAUCAAGACCAAUAAUUUCAUCCUUACUAGGUAAUUCUUCCUCACGAUGUUGUUUACUAAAUUUAGAGAAAUUAAACUCAUGAACCAUAUCAUCCAAGCCAACAGUAACAACAUUCUUUAUGCAAUCUAUGGUAGCAUUGACAGUAUUUAAGAAGGGUCUACCAAAUAUAAUGGGACAAAGGCUAUCUUGCAGAGAAGUAAGAACAAGAAAAUCAGCAGGAUAAUUAGUUUUCCCACACAAGACUUCAACAUCUCUAACAAUUCCAAUUGGUGAAAUAGUAUCUCUAUCUGCAAGUUUAGUUGUGACAUCAAUACCUUCUAACUCAGCAGGUGCAAUUUCAUUCUUAAUUUCGUCAUAUUCAGUAUGCGGUAUAACACUAGCACUCGCACCCAUGUCACAUAAGCCAUGAUAACAAUGAUAUCCUAUUUUAACAGAAAUAACAGACACGCCUACCACAUGUCUAUGUUUAUCUUUAUCACAAGGUUUAGCAAUUCUAGAAGUUUCACCUUCGAACUGAAUAACAUGCCCAUCAAUAUUAUCAGACAAGAGAUCUUUAACAAUAGCAAUAUUAGGUUCUACUUUAACUUGCUCAUGAGGUGUAUACGUUCUAAUAUUGCUUUUACAAACAACAGUUGAAGCUUUAGCAUGAUCCUUUACUCUAACAGGGAAAGGUGGUUUCUCAACAUAAGAAGUAGGAACAAUAGGAUCAUUAUAAGUGACAGUCUUUUCUUCAACUUUAAUAGGUGCAGCUACUUUUACUUCUAUGGGAGGAUGAUAUUGAAACCACUUCUCCUUAGGGAGAUCAACAUAAGUAGCAAAAGAUUCACAAAAAGAAGCUACUAUCUCAGAGUCAAGUCCAUAUUUAGUGCUAAACUUACGGAAAAUAUCGGUAUCCAUAAAAGAUUUAACACAAUCAAACUUAGGUGUCAUACCUGACUCCUUACCUUCGUCGAGGUCCUAAUAUUCAGAGUUGCGUUCAAUUCUAUCCAAUAAAUUCCAUCUGAAUUCAAUAGUCUUCAUCAUAAAAGAGCCAGCACAAGAAGUAUCGAGCAUGGUGCGAUUGUUUUUAGAAAGCCGAGCAUAAAAACUUUGCAUAAUUAUUUCUCUCGGGAGCUCAUGAUUGGGGCAUGAAUAUAACAUUGAUUUAAGCCUCCCCCAAGCUUGAGCAAUGCUUUCUCCUUCGCGAGGCCAGAAAUUAUAUAUAUAAUUGCGAUCACGAUGAACAAGAUGCAUAGGGUAAUACUUUUGAUGAAAUCCCAACUUCAAUCUUUUAUAGUCCCAUGAUCUCAUAUCAUCACAUAGCCUAUACCAUAUCAAUGCGUCUCCCUUCAAAGAUAAAGGGAAUACCUUCUUCUUAGCAACAUCAUAGGGUAUACCUGCAAGCUUAAAUAAUCCACAAACAUCAUCCACAUAUAUUAAGUGCUCAUCAGGAUGCUUUGUUCCGUCUCCUGUAAAAGGGUUAGCUAGCAGUUUUUCCAUCAUACCCGAAGGAAAUUCAAAAGGAGUUUCAUUUUCAAUAGGUUCAGUAGGUUGAGGAGCAACUCUUUGCUCUACUAGAUGGGGUGAAGAUACCCCGAACAAGCCCCUCAGAGAAUUACUUUCCAUAGUAACAAGUGACAGUAAAUUUCAGCACACUAUAUAAAUUUUUCCUUACCAAAUUCCACCUACCAAAGGCGCUACACUCCCCGGCAACGGCGCCAGAAAAGAGUCUUGAUGACCCACAAAUAUAGGGAAUCUAUCGUAGUCCUUUCAAUAAGUAAGAGUGUCAAACCCAACGAGGAGUAGAAGGAAAUGAUAAGCGGUUUUCAACAAGGUAUUCUCUGCAAGUACUGAAAUAAGUGGUAACAGAUAGUCUUGUGAUAAGGUAAAGUGUAACGAGCAACAAGUAAAAAAAGUAAAUAAAGUGCAGCAAGGUGGCCCAAUCCUUUCUGUAGCAAAGGACAAGCCGGAACAAACUCUUAUAAUAGGAAAAGCGCUCCCGAGGACACAUGGGAAUAUCGUCAAGCUAGUUUUCAUGAUGAUCAUAUGAUUCACGUUCGAUACUUUGAUAAUUUGAUAUGUGGGUGGACCGGUGCUUGGGUGCUGUUCUUACUUGAACAAGCAUCCCACUUAUGAUUAACCUCUAUUGCAAGCAUCCGCAACUACAACAAAAGUAUUAAGGUAAACCUAACCAUAGCAUGAAACACGUGGAUCCAAAUCUGCCCCUUACGAAGCAACACAUAAACUAGGGUUUAAGCUUAUGUCACUCUAGCAACCCAUCAUCUACUUAUUACUUCCCAACUAGUUGAGUGCCAGUGCGUCGCCACGGACCAUCAAAUUUGAUUAUUGCUCACAAUCCUUACUGACCGCCCACACAGAUACGACCUCCCGAGUUGUCUCACCGCCAUCGCCAACACCUUAUCACCCCCUUGCUCUCCUUCAAAGUUGCCACGGAAUAAUAUUAUAAAAUAAAGAUCAAACAAUUGUUCUAUUUCAAACAUGUGUGUCAAAAAUGGCAUUUGCUUCGUAUUCCUAUAAUGGCAAAUUGGUGUUCUCUCCCACUCCUAUCUUCCUCAGACCCCUUUCCCCUCAACCUUCACUCUUUUAUUAUUGUGCAAUGACCCUCAACCUUCAUACUCAGGACCGUGUUUAAUAUAUGUUUUUAUGUUCUUAUUCUUUCAACAUAUUAUAUUAUUUUUAUCGACUCAAAAAUCCUUCUAACAUCAUUUCUGGAGAGCAAUCAAUUGAAUAAAUAGAGAGCAAUAAUUUAAUUGUUCGUAUUUUCCAUUUUAGUAAUGUAAAUAAAGUUUGACACUGACUUGGCACGGAUUUGAUCAAAACAUUUGUAUCAAGAAGUUGUGAUUCAACUGCUCCCCUGAGAUCGUGACGUCCUGUUUAAGGCCAUUGAUGAAAUGAGUUACAACACUGGGUUUGCACGUCAAUCUGCAUGCCUGGUCAAUGAUCACCACCUUCAGUGAGCACCAUGAUUAUGGCCACCAACCACUCCCCCAUGCCAUCCAUAGUUCCAUGGGUACUACUGGAAUCCUAUUCAGAGCAUUGGGUUUGAAUGGAGUGGUCGCAGCCUUUCGAUAAAUCAAACCAACAUUGAUCGAACCCAAAGAGGAUUAGCGAACUUAUCAAUUUACUAGUACAAUCAAGUGUAGUGAAAGCAUGAUUCAGACCAAAAUAAAGCUUUUAAUUAUACCAACUGUUGAGCUAACUUAGGUUUAGGGAGAAUCAGAACACACGAGGAUGACAAGAAAUUUGGAAGUAGAUAGGGAAGAACAGGAGAGUUCCGAGAAGGGGCGGGUGGGAUUGAAAAUUACUCUCUUCGUUCCUAAACAUAAUUCUUUUUAGAGAUUUCAACAUGGGCUACAUGCGAAGAAAAAUGAGUGAAUCUACACUCUAAAAUACGUCUAUAUACAUCCGUAUGUAGUCUAUAUUGAAAUCUCUAGAAAGACAUAUUUAGGAACGGAGGAAGUAUAUUUCAGUAUGAACGAUUCGCUAGCACAUUAAAUAACCCACGGACACGCACACACACACACCCACACACACACACACACUCACACACACACAAGCACAUGUACAACUCCCACACGAUUCUAAUUCUGAUGUCUAAAACACAUUCGUCUAGCCCAUCCCCUCGUCAUCUUCAGUAUGCACUUUGUCGGUCCUGACAGUGACUGACCUGCAGACACAAGAAAAAUGAAUCACAAUUAAUACUAUUUGUACAAGAAUGAGGAAGAAAGGAUAUAGUAUAACUUUUUCCAUAACAAAAGUACAUAACCCAAAAUAGAAAAGCUGAAACAUGUGAAAGGAUGUAACAGAAAAGACAACUAUUCUAAUUAAAGGACAACUAUAGAAUUCUUAGAAUGCAAAACUUAAUUAUACAAGAAGAAAUAUAUCCUAGAUUGAGCUAAAUCUGGUGUAGGGAAUUAAACACAAAGCAAAAACAUAGAGCUCCCUAUAAACAUUUGAUUUUUUAAAAGGGACACAGUAACUGUUAAGUGCUUACGGCUUUAGAGAAUGAAAUGUCCAAGUCAAACAACUACUCACCAGUCACACUUCAGAGUGAAAAGGUAAUUCAUCAAAGGAAAUCCGAAGGAAGUGUCACAAAGUGUGAUAGAAAUUGAAACCUUGAACUGCCACCCAUUUAAUAAUGCAAGUGGAGAACUCGAACAUGCACUAACUUGGCUUUUCCACUCAUUAAUAGACCUUGUCAAUAGAAGUGUGAAUCUUUAUUAAAGCCUUUCUGCUUAAUCAAGCCUCAUUAUCAUCAAUAUGAGAAACUAAGCCUUCUGUAUGAUGUUUGAGAAACUACAAAGAAUAAAUGAUUUUUUUACUCAAAUGCAUAAAAUGGCGAGCCUAAACACUAACGUCCAAAUUUAUCAAAUUUCAUGAAGAAAAGUUAGUUUUUCUUAGAAAAAAAAUUAGUUUGUCAAUUAAAUGAAGUCAUUGUUGGAGUGUUUAGUCAGACAAUGGAAAUUUGGAGAUUAAGGAGCUACAGUGGAGUAUUACUGUUUUUGCAGAAAAAAAUUCCAUCAACGAUGAAACCAUGGUUUUGGUUCGAUUGCUAUCAACAAGAGCGCAUUCGUACACGGAUCACUCGAGAUCGAAUAAUUAUCUUCUGAAGCAACAAAUAUAAUGCUUCAAGAAACCAAGAUCUUCUCUUAUACGUGCCAGUCCAUAGAAAGAUGGUACCAAUCUGUAGAAAAUUACCAAAUAGAUGCAUACAAAACACAGAAACAUUGACUACUAUGAGUUUUCAUGAUCGACAAAAGAUAAGUAACACUACAAUUUCCACCUAGGUACCUAGAUCUCAUGGAAGCAACAAAUUUGCAAGGCAUCUAAUUCGACCAGUUUAAUUGAAAACUCUAAUACCAUCAGUGGAGGAGCAAAGUAAUACUCAUAGGUUGAGUAGCUCAGUGCAUUUCUGACAACGGCGUGAGCAUCAACGUCUAGUGCCACUAAUCAACCAGCACAGAGAUGGCGCAUAAGAUGAGGAGAUGGGAGAUCAGUGUCAGCAGGAGAGAUCAUCAGAAUAGUGUUGUUGUACAUAGGGGCAGCGCGAGCAGCAAGGAAAAAGUCAUGCAAGCAGGCUAUGCUGCGCUUGAGAGACUGGAGAAACCAUGGAAGCACCUUAAGAAAAUUUGAAGCGGGACGCCGCCCGACUGGAAGCUUUGUUUCAAGAUGCAUAAAACCAAACUCCGUCCCUUGAUAGAAAUUCAAGCAGAACAAAAUAUAGGUCACAUAAAGAAAAAAUAAAGCAUAGUUAAACACAACUCUGAUGUAUUCACUUAAAAUAGGAUGAUAAUGAUCUAAAGAAAACAGCGAUCAUCAAGGAUGUCUCACCUUGAAACACCCUGCUGAAUUAAGGUUUGUUCUAAAAUAAACAACUAAAAGAUAUAAAAUAUUUAAAGCAUUACAGUGACAUGGUGUUUUGUUUUUCUUCACAAACUAACAUGAUCAGGAUCGUGCAACAUGGACAAACAAACAUUCCUCAUGUUUUUCUUUUUUUGCUUUCAAUUCACUGAAGGAAAGUAAACACCCGGUGUUGUGUGUGACUCGCCCACAGCCAAGGGGACGACAGGUCCAUGGGCUCUGGCCACCCACAACCAGACUACAUGAUCCAGCGUAAAGGCACUGCUUGCUGCUACCUCGGCUCCCCAACCAUCACAACGGCAGGUUUCAAUCGACUUGCACACAAAACCACGUCUCUACUGGCUGCAACAUAACCGUGUCUUCCUAUGUGGUUACCACACUCCUCUUUGAUGUCCCUCCAUCUCUCUCUCCUUCUCCCUCCUCUCAACAACCAGCACAAGGGACAAAGUAUAGCAUGGAAAACAACACUCAUCAACUCUUAACUACAACCCUUAGAGGCAUAUCAUCAUAAAUGUUGUUUGUAAAGGAGGAGCCAAGACAACAUCUCAAAAGCUUAUAGACCAUGAACACCAUCCUGUGACAAGCCUCAAAUUUCACAGGUCUGGCCUGCAACUUUAUAAUAGUUUUGCUAGAACUGAGUGUCAUGGUCCAAAUGUAGCAGUAGGACAGGAAGAAGUGGUUGAGGCCAAACCUGCACAAAACUAUCCAUCUUGAGCAAUGAGAGACCAUAGAGGUUAAGUGGCAUCAGCGAGUUGACAAGGUGUAACACCCUCGAUGCGACUAUAGCUCCCACGUGUCGAGGCACGCCUUAGAGACAUAAUCGCAUUGAAGGCAUAUGUCGCAAGUUAGGCAAUCUUCACAACAUCCCAUGUAAUAUAAAUAAUAAAGGGGAGAUAACAUAGUUGGCUUACACUCGCCACGUCAAUCAAGUACAUAAAUAACAUUACAUCAUCCAAACACUCAUGGCCCGACUACGGCACCAAAAUAAAAGAUAACCCAAAAUGCGACACGGUCCCAAUCACCCACAACUGGGCACCACUACUGAUCAUCGGGAAAGGAAACAUAGUAACAUUGAGAGUCCUCGUCGAACUCCCACUUGAGCUCAUACGCGUCUCCUAGAGCAGAAUCAUCAGGCCCUGCAUCUGGUGUAAUAGUACUCAGUGAGCCACAGGGACUCAGCAAUCUCGCACCCUCGCGAUCAAGACUAUUUAAGCUUAUAGGUAAGGCAAGGUAAAUAUAUGUGGAGCUGCAGCAAGCGACUAGCAUAUAUGGUGGCCAACUUAAUCGCAAAGGAGAGCGAGAAGAGGGGGCAAAGCACGAGCGAGAAACUAGAGAGCAACCUGCGCAAACAUUACUCCAACACCGUGUCCGCUUCCCGGACUCCGCCGAGAAGAGGCCAUCACGGUAACACACUCAGUUGAUUCAUUUUAAUUAAGUUAAGGUUCAAGUUAUCUACAACUGGACAUUAACAAAUUCCCAUCUGCCCAUAACCGCGGGCACGGCUUUCGAAAGUUCAAUCCCUGCAGGGGAGUCCCAACUUAGCCCAUGACAAGCUCUCACGCUCAAUGAAGGAAUAGGCCUCCUCCCAAGACGUUUCGAUCAGACUCGGUAUCUCGGUAAUUCAAGACACUUCGACAGGUUAAAACAAGACCAGCAACACCGCCCGAAUGUGCCGACAAAUCCCGAUAGGAGCUGCACAUAUCUCGUUCUCAGGGCACACUCAGAUGAGCCAGACAUCGGGUAGGCCAGUCCAGAGUUGCCCCUGGUAGCCCCGGACAUAGCUCGGUUGGACCAACACNNNNNNNNNNNNNNNNNNNNNNNNNNNNNNNNNNNNNNNNNNNNNNNNNNNNNNNNNNNNNNNNNNNNNNNNNNNNNNNNNNNNNNNNNNNNNNNNNNNNNNNNNNNNNNNNNNNNNNNNNNNNNNNNNNNNNNNNNNNNNNNNNNNNNNNNNNNNNNNNNNNNNNNNNNNNNNNNNNNNNNNNNNNNNNNNNNNNNNNAUAAGAUGACCCUUGAGUCUGCAGAACCCAAGGGAAAGAAAAGGCUAGCUGGCGAAUGGUAAGACCAAUGUUGGGCAUUGCUGGAAAAGCUUUAAUCAAGGCGAACUAUCAAGGGGUUCCCAUUAUAACCCAACCGCAUAAGGAACGCAAAAUCCGGGAACAUAACACCGAUAUAACGGAAACUAGGGCGGCAAGAGUGGAACAAAACACUAGGCAAGAGGCCGAGCCUUCCACCCUUUACCAAGUAUAUAGAUGCAUUAAGAUAACAUAGCAAUAUAAUGAUAUCCCAACAAGUAAACAAAUGUUCCAACAAGGAACGGCCUUCAAUUUUCACCUGCAACUAGCAACGCUAUAAGAGGGGCUGAGCAAAGCGGUAACAUAGCCAAUCAACGGUUUGCUAGGACAAUGGUGGGUUAGAGGUUUGACAUGGCAUUUUGGGAGGCUUGAAAGCAAGUGGUAGGCAUCGUAGCAUUGACAUAGCAAAAGGGCGAGCAAACUAGCAUAGCAAAGAUAGUAGUGAUUUCGAGGGUAUGAUCAUCUUGCCUGCAUAGUUGUCAAAGUUGACUGGAUCCUCGAAAGCAAACUCAACGGGCUCCUCGUUAGCGAACUCGUCUCCCGGCUCUACCCAAACAAGACAAACAAGUAACAAGGAUACAAUCAACCACGUGCAAACUCAAACAACACGAUGCAAAUAUGAUAUGUUAUGCGGGAUGCGAUGCGGGAUGCAAAAUGCAAGAUAUGACAAGAAAUGCAUGAACCUGGCCUCAACUUGGAAAUCCAAGUGUUCCACUGGAAAUAUGAGAUGAAAUCGCUUGAAAACGAUAUAAAGAACGCCGGAAUCGGAGUUACGGUUUGGAAAUGGCAAGCGAUUCAAAAAUGACACCGGUCUGCGAUUUACAGCAAGUAGGCAUCUAAAUGCAAUGAUAUGAACAUGCUACAGCACCCAAACAUGACAACAAAAUACAUGGCAGGGAUGCAUACAAGAUGCGUAACAAAAUUCUAGCACUUAGCUACGGCCAAUUGAUCCAUUAACAGGUUCAAAUAAACAUGGCAAAAAUGCAUAUGGCAAACAUAUCUCAGACUUAGUGAAAUUAACACUUGUCUGGAAUUUCAGAUCAGGUAGCCCUCUUCGGAGCAACAAAACUACAUAUUACAGGACCUGAACAUGGCAAAGUAAAGCAUGGAAUGGAGCUACUAAAAGAUCUUAACAAAAGUCCCUUAGUGACCUUGAGCCAAAAGGGAUUAGAAAAUACAAUUGCAAGCACGUGAACAUAGCAAAAACAUAAUCAGUUCUCAGACUUAGUGAAAACUGGCACAUGCUGAAAUAUAACUCAAGUAGGCAUGUUUACGAGCUCGAUGCACUCACUAUGGUGCAAGUCAUGGCAAGACAAGCAUACACCCAUCAAUAAGGCACAAAAUGCAAUCUAGACAUGGCAAGAACAAUAGCAUAGCAUGCAUGGAUCAACUACAACAUCAUCGGCAAAAUUGCAAACAAGUUGACAAUUUGCCCAGAUUUAGAAAGUAGCAAAAGUAGAGCUCGAUUGACUCAAGCUAGGGUGCUCCAUAAUUGCAAACAAAGACAUGGAUGGAUAGAUCACUACAAGAUUAACAAAACAUCCUAAAUAAUCAUCCUCAAAAGAGGCACGGAUCACUAGGAAACAACAUGAAAAUAUGACAACAUGAGAUAAACAGCUCCAGGACUUAGUGAAAUUACUAAGUCCCUAAAAACGGAAUUAGCAAGUGCACCACUUUGUAAGCUUGCACUAGUCACCACACAAAUCCUAAAAAUAUAUGGGUUGCACCUCUGGAGAGAUGAAAAAACCGUUAACAAAACACAUGUAGAGCAUCAGGGCAUAUCAUGCACACAUUAAUCAUGGCAAAAAUGACAAAACCUAAAUGGAGGAGCAGAUCUGAUAAUUAACUCAAGUAGCCCUCUUCUAACAGCAUUUCGGGCUUCAAGAUGAACUCAAAUGAAAAUGAUACAAUGAAAUGAAAUGAUGUACUCUCUUAGGUGAACAUUUUGAUAUGCUACAUGCAUGAAUCGGAACUACGGAUGCAAAGUUAAAGAGCUAUGAACAGGAGCACUUGGAUCCGCAAUUGAGGACUUAGUCAAAAAAUCACCCCGCGAGAAAAAAAAAA
rnacentral:lncRNA from 1 species